rnacentral:lncRNA from 1 species
CAAUGAAUUCCCAGUGUUCAUGAAUCAGAUCGACUUAUUAAUAGCAAAAUACGAGAAGCUGGUUGACACUGAAGCAACUCAGCUGGAUGAGAUCAAUAGUUUGAAAGUCAUGGUUGCGGACAAAGAUGAAAAAAUUCGCAUACACGAAUAACUGUGCCGUGAGCUUCAGAAAGAGGCGACCGAAUUGAAGGCGAAUUUAGAGAAAACCAAGAAGGAACAUGAUGUGAAGGUAUCUGAGCUCGAGGAAAAGCUCAAGGCCAAGGAAAAGGAAGUAGGCAAAAUGAUCAAUAAGGUUGAGGAGAUGGCUAACUCGAUGACUUGGGAAAAGCUAAGAAGCUUGAACUUACGCUCGGGUGUGAGUGUGUACUAGCAUUAGUCAUGUAUUGGAUGGGUGUUUUAAACAUCGUAUCUUAAAAUUUUGAUGGCUGCUACCAUGAAUUUUUUUGCUUGUAUUUUAAGUAUAAACUGUUGUUCUACUUGCUUGUGCAGCCGCAGUUGGAUGACAGCCCAAAUACUCGUAGAUCAAGGUAAACUGUGAAAUUGAUGUUACACAUACAUACAUAUCCUUUUGAGUGGUUAUUAGCAAUGCGGAAGCAACCAUAUUAGGACAAAAAAAUAUCAUCAAAUCAAAUAUGAGAUAUCAUUCUUAUCAGAAAAACUGUGCGGGCUUCAAAUAAAAUAAAAUAGAGUUAAAAAUUUCUCCUAUAAAAGGAGAUGGAGGAAGCCUAAAAAAGGCAUUCAAGUUGGUUUUGAAAUAUUUCUCAUCCACCAUUCACCCCUAUUUUAUAAAACUUUUUUUUACUACUAGUUUCAUUCUGUAAAUUUGUAUUACCAUCUCUAAUAUCAAUUAAUUUUGUCAUAUCGUGCUUCCCAAGAUCUAGGGAUAGGUAUAAGGAUAAGAGUCGAUCUCCAAGUAGGGUGGGGCGUUGUUCAAGAUCUUCAAGCGAGAGCGAAGAUGAUUACAGAAACGAGUAAGCGCAAGUUUAUUUCAUUUUGCUUUUGGUGUUAUAUGAACAGUGUGUCUAUUCCCAUUUCCGACUCUCAUUUUUUUAACUUUGUUUCAAUGAUCACAUUUGUUGGAAGACUGCGGAAAACAAUGUGGCCUGGAAAACGACGAAAAUCGAAGUCUAAGGAUAGAGGCAGAAGUAGAUGACCCCUACGGGCUACGGUUUUCAUGAGGUGCUGCCUUCCUUUAUUACCUGUCUCUGUAUGUUACAUAAACUGUGUGAUGGAAAUCACAAUGGACUUCUUUCUUAUAUAUUUCAUGUUCUACACUGACUAUUCAGUAAUUGAUAUUUGAGAUUUGGAUAUUGCAAAUGAGCAUCUAGGGGAUAGGAAUCAUAGGAGCAGUUCCCUAUAUAUUUUAUCUCUUCUGCAUGAAUCCGGCUAUCAUCAUUAUUAUCUACUGCAGAUUUGGAUAUUGAAUUUCGGAUAUCCCUUAUCAAAAUCCACAUCACUUAUAAUUACAUAUCUAAAUUAGCUUUAUUUUGUUGGAUAAUGAUUUCAUUUGGAAAAUUUGGGCGCCACAUGCAAAGACUUCAAAAUAUUGGACAUGACACAAUAAGACCAAAAAUACCACAACACAGAAAUUCAAUAACAGAAACAACACUAUAUCAAGGAUUAAAAAGAAAAUCCUUGUUUAGCUCCUCGAUGUGGUCAGUGAAUGUGCAACUGUUAUAGAGAAGCCAAGAAAAUCCAGUUAAGAACAAUCUGGGAUAUGAUAACUGAAAAACAAGAGAAACAAUAAUAGUUCAAAGUUUGAAAAGAUGAUUGCUAAGCUCUCGAUUGAAAUAAGUCGUAAAUACAAAUAAAAUUCAACUCCACUAAGAUGUGACAAACCUCCUUGAGUAUUCGAACAUCCCUAGGAGAUGGGAUUCUUUAUCAGUGAAAGCUUCAACAUCUAUCUGCAGUGGCUUUACGAAAUAUCCAAUAUUGGGCCGCAACUUAACCGGAAGCUUCUCACAUCGUAAAAUAAAGCUAGCUUCAAAGGCAAUAGAUGGUGAUGAAAACGAACUUGAAUAAUCCUUCUUGUUGUCUGACCUGGUUCUAAAGAAGCUAUCUCUUCCAUUGGAACAAGUUUUGGCACAUUAUCAGAUGAGGCUCUGUUAGACUCCACAUUGACUAUCUUUAUUCCCGAUAUGGUCUCUGAUGAACAGUUCUUAAAAGAAACUUCUAUGCAGACAAGUAGAUGCGAUAUGCUUGAUAUUUCUGAUGAAAAAGAAUAAUCAACCUUCAAAUCAUUUCCAUUUGCAGGCUCCAAGAGAGAAUAGCUUUUUGGUUUUAUCUGCUUUCCAACAUCCCCAAUAGAUAUUCUUGCCGAAGAUUUACGGACUUGACUUUGCUCCAACAUGCCUGGGUUUGAUGAACCAGGUUGUUCCUCCAACCAUGACUCUAGAGCUCUAUUUGACAUUAAUUCCCCUAGAUUACCAGAAGAAGAAUGAAAAACUCCAUUCUGAUUUUCAGAAGCAUUUCCAAUGUCGGAAAUCUGAAGCAACAGGUCUGCAUUAUCAUUGCCUUCACUUGAUUCACCAUCAUCACAUGGCCACUGCUUCUCGAGCCAGAGAAAGAGUGCUGUGAACCAUAAUCUGAAAGCACUUUCAUUGUCUGAAGGAUCAGAUGAUGUGCCAUGAUCGUCUGUCCCACUAUAAUCUGCUGCCUCCUUCAUAAUUAUACGUGUUCCUUCAGGCUCAUUAAUGCCAUCAAGGAGCAAACUGCAGGGCUUUGGAAGAGGUUCGUACCAGGGAGCAGUAUGAAGAACCAUAUGUGAGAGAGACCCAGGUAGUUUAAAAUCGGUAAUUAAUUGAUUCAGUUUUCACUUCUCUUGUUUGUUUCCUAAAUAUGCAGUUCACAACUAUGUGUAGGUCUUUUUCAGGAAGACUAUGCACUCCUUGUGACCCUUGAGAGAUGAAAUUGUAUGAUAAAAGUUUCUUUAGGAAACAAGCUCGGUCACGGACAUCGUAGUUCGAAUCACAUUCAGCCAAUUCAACCAUAUAUCUGAAAACUUUCUUGAAUGUCGACAGACCUUCUCCUGUAGCACCUGAUAGAACCUGCAAGUACAGACAAACUGAAAAUACAGGCUUUUUCUCUGAAAAUUAACAACAAGCAAGCGGAAAAAAAAAAGAAACUGAUAAACUACAAAAUUUUAAAUUAAUUAAAGAUGACAUGCAACAGCAAGAGUUUUCGAGCUUUAUUUAUUUUACUUUUUUUUUAAUAUGAUAUGGCUACUUGCUGCAACUAAUCCUGACUGACAACCUCCAUCCCAUUUCAUAAGUAAAACAGAUUAUCGUAGGAAGGCCAAAUAUCUUUUCCAGAAAUAUUCGUCCAUAGCUAGGCUAGAAUUGAUCAAGAAUAUUAUAGCUCUUGGAAAUACCUUAGUCACUGUACUAAGAAUUUGAAGCUUUGUUUCCAACGCUUCUGAAGUAACUCACCAUGCAAGAUACUUCAGCAUCGUGGUUAACAUCCUAUGAAUUAUCUCCCCCAAAGAGCUGUAUUCUCCCACCAUCCAAAUAAUCAUUGCACGAACUGAAGGCACCUUGAUUGAAUCCAAACUACGGACUAACCGAAUUAUAACCUUUAAAUAAAAAAUAAGAUGUUGGUUAUCAGCCAAUUAAUAUGAAAACACUGCAGGAAUGCAAAUAAUUUAAAGAUUCUGCCAAAUAGACAGAGAGGUAUGCAAAAAACGCAUAGCUAAAGCUGAAAUGAAAUAAGCAAGAGAGAGAUACCUUCUCAUGAAUUGGUGGGUCUUGCUUUAUGAUUGAUUUUAUAGAGAUAAUUGCCUGAACCAAAACAUCUGCUUCUUGAUAUCUAGACCCUAAAUCUUUAGUCAAGAGCUCUGCAAAAUUUGGUAUCACUUCAGAAAACAAUGGAUUCUCUGAAUGUUACCAGACAACAAGAAGUAGGAAAAGAGGAAUAAACCGUGUCUAGUCAUAGUUAACAGCCCAUCUACACAUAUAUGUGCAUUUUUGGAAGUUGUCGUGCGCAUAUACCAAUUGCAGCAACAGUAGCAGCAGCAAAUCGCCUGUCUGGAUCUCUAAUAUAAUCCUAACAACAGACUAUAAUAUAAGCAUCAAUUCAUGCGAUCAAGGAUCAGCAUACUUGUAUAACAAUGCAAUUUCAACUGGUUGUUAGUACAAAUCUCCGGUGAAGAAAAUCUCGAACACAUGAACGGAACUCGAACAGAAAAAGAAGAAAUAGGACAAUGUUCCAAGGCGUGUAUCAAGCCACUAUCUUUAAGGUUAUAUUCGCCCCCACCUAUUUUCGGUGUGCAAAUGAGUUCCAAGCAAAUUAACCUCGAGGAUAUAAUGAAGCCAAUGACUAUUUGCGUUUUGCACUGACGAGAAUAGCCCACUACACACUGAGCACUGUAUGACAAGAAACUCAAUUUCUAUAAAGAAUUUCUGCAGUAAUACUUUAUAAAAUAAUCUAAUAAUAUUAGAAAAUGAAGUAAAUAAAGUAAGAAUAUUAAAAUUUGUUAGUAUGUUUUUCAAAUGAAAUCUCAUUCCUAUUUAUAAGAAUUUUCAUGUCUCUUCAUAGAGACAUCUUUCAUCAAUAGGUGUCUUUCUGAAUAAUAAUAUUUUUAAAAUAAACACAUAAGUAUUCAUUUAAUAUUAUAACUAUUCAAAUAAUAUUAUUUAAAUAGUUAUAAUUCUUUUUUAAAAAAUCAAAUAAUAUAACUUUUGAUUAAUUACACCCAGUCAUUUAUAGUUAUUGGAACAUUAUAAAUAUUUGAAAAUGUUCCAACAAUCUCGCCCCAUUUUCAAAAUAUUUUGGAUUUUGAUAUUCUUGAAAAUCAAUUUGCAUAAAUGACGGUAUCUUACGAUUGAACCUUCACUUAGUGAAAACAUGUUAAAGUUAAUCGAAAUUGCAUGGUAGACUAAGCUUUGAACCAACUAUUCCAUUUGAUUAACCGAACACAUCUCACACAAUGAUUUCAACAUCGGUCAAUGCAUAGUAUCUAGGGACACUAUUAUGGUCAUGUGUCUAUGUCCUUUUUUCAUGAGUGCUACCAGAGCCAAGCCAUUGAGCUCCUAAAAGUGGUCACACUUCCACUCACAUAGGUAGAUCCCAUCAAGAGUGUUCUCGUAAUUAUAACAUUCUAACAUAUUUAUGUUAUGGGUCCAUUAAGAUUACAUUACUCAUCCUUCCCUUAUCAUUACGGGUACCUAACACUUUAAUCUUAGGAUGAAUUUAUUUAUAGUGCUAACAAUCACAUAGUAAUGAUAUACUUUGCCUCAUUGAACUCAAGACUUGACGUUAUACCAAGCGUUGAGUCGAGUUUCCAUCAUGGGUGACUCUAAUUAAUGGGCUUAAGUCCGAUCCCUUUUGAAGUCCUUUUUACUGCAUCUCUAGCAAGACUUUUUGUCAAAGAAUCCGCCAAAUUUCCACUUGACCUUACAUAAUUAAUAGUGAUCACUCCAUCAGAGAUUAAUUGUCGGACAUAACUAUGUCUUAAUCCAAUGUGUCUAGACUUUCCAUUAUAUACUUGGCUAUAUGCCUUUGCUAGAGUAGCCUCACUAUCACAACAGAUAGAAAUAGGUGAAAUUGGCUUAGGCCAUAAAGGUACAUCAUAAAGCAAAUUUCUUAACCAUUCUGCUUCUUUAGAUGCAGCGGCUAAAGCAAUAAAUUCUGCUACCAUGUUGGAAUUAAUAAUACAUGUUUGUUUCUUGGAACCCCAAGAAAUGACUCAUCCACCAAGAAUGAAGAUCCAUCCACUAGUAGAUGCAUGAUCUUCCAAACUUGUAAUCCAACUAGUAUCCGAAUACCCUUCUAAAACUGGAGGAUAUCCAUUAUAACACAAUCUAUAGUUAAUAGUUUUCUUUAAGUACCUAAGUACUCUAUUCAAAGCUUGUCAAUACAAACUACUUGGAUUACUUGUGUAUCUACUCAAUUUUCCAACAGCAUAUGCAAUAUUUGGUCUUGUACAAGUCAUUAUGUACAUAAGACAACUAAUUAGACUUGCAUAUUUCAAUUGAUCAAUUUUCCUACCAGCAUUAGAUACUAAUUUUAUUUGAGGAUCCAUGGGUGUAGAUGUUGGUAUACAGUUGAAAAGAUCAAGCUUUUUAAGCACAUUUUCAAUGUAAUGUGAUUGUGAUAAAGUUAUAGUAUUUUCAUCUCGGGUUAUUUUAAUCCCAAGAAUAACAUCAACUACACAUAUAUCCUUCAUAGCAAAGUUGUUUGACAAGAAUUUCUUUGUGUUUUCUAUUUGUUCCAAAUCCGUGCCAAAAAUGAGCAUGUCAUCUACAUAUAAGCAAAUUAUGACACCUUUUCCAAUUUCAAAUUUGCUAUAUAUGCACUUAUCAGAUUCAUUUAUUUUAUAGCCAUUAACUAAAACAACCUUGUCAAACUUUUGGUGCCAUUGUUUUGGUGCUUGUUUAAGUCCAUAUAAAGAUUUAACAAGCUUACAUACCUUAUGCUCUUGUCCUGGAACAACAAAUCCUUUUGGUUGCUCCAUGUACGCUUCCUCUUCCAAUUCACCAUUUAAAAAUGCAGUUUUAACAUUCAUUUGGUGAUAUUAAGAGUCUAAUUGUAGCAAUUCUUGCUACUAGAGCAUAGGUAUCAAAGUAAUCAAUACCUUGUUUUUGCAUAAAAUCUUUGGCUGCCAACCUUGCUUUAAAUUUAUCAAUGGUUCCAUCGACCUUCAUUUUCUUUUUGAAGAUCCAUUUACAACCUAUUGGUUUGGAACCUAGUGGAAGAUCAAUUAAGAUCCAAGUUUGAUUUUCCAUUAUUGAAUACAUCUCAUCAUUUAUUGCUUCUUUCCAAAAAGCAGAGUCUUGAGAUUUCAUUGCCUCUUCAAAUGUAAUAGGAUCAGAUUCCAUAUUAUAACAAUAAGGUAACUUAUUACAUAUACUUUCACAUUUUCCUUCUACAAGAAACAUAAUGAAAUUUAGUCCAAAAUCUUUGACCUUUUUAACCCUCUUGCUUCUUCUUAAUUCUUGACAAGAUUCAUCAUUAUUAUCAAUUUGUUCCAAUGGAAUCUCAUUCUUAUUUGAAGAAUGAAUCAAUUGUUGUGGCUGUAAUUGUCUUGAUAUAGAAUUAAACCUAUUUUCAUCAAAAAUAGCAUCUCUUGAUUCAAUAACAGUAUUAAUUGAAAUUGAAUCAUUUGGUUUAAUUACCAUGAACCUAUAUGCAUUGCUAUAAUGUGCAUAACCUAUAAAUAUGAAUUCAAUUCCUUGUUGACCUAAAUUUUUACGUUUAGAUGUUGGAACUUUGACAAUAGUUAUACAACCCCAAACCUUCAAAUAAUUAAGGUUUGGUUUCCUUUUCUUUCAUUGUUCAUAGGGGGUUAUUUUAGUUUCGUUAUUAGGAACUCUAUUCAAUAUAUGACAAGUUGUUAGAACAGAUUCUCCCCAAAAGCCUUGUCCAAGACCUGAAUAUGAUAACAUUGAAUUUACCAUUUCAAUCAAAACUCCAUUUUUCCUUUCAGCUACACCAUUUUGUUGUGGUAUGUAAAGGGCUGAAACUUUAUGGACAAUUCCAGUGGACUCAAAAUAACUUGGAUUAUAGUAUUCUCCACCUCUAUUCGAUCUUAAGCACUUGAUAAAUGAUUCACACUGAAGUUCAACUUCAAAUUUAUAAACUUUAAAUUUAUCGAACGCUUCAUCUUUUGAAUGCAAUAAAUAUACAUAACAAUAUCUAGAACAAUCAUCAAUAAAAGUAACAAAAUAUUUCUUUCCACCUAACCAAAUGUAAGAGUAUUAUGCAUGUCACAUAAAUCACUAUGUAUAAAAUCAAGCAAUUUUGUUUUCCUUUUAACCUUAGGGAAAUGGUUUCCUGUAAUUUUAGUCAACUUACAUCUAUUGCAUUUUUCAAUAUUAUUAUUAAAAACAGGAAUUAAAUCUAACUUACACAUGUCAUUCAAUUUUUUAUAAUUCAAAUGACCUAAUCUAUAAUGCCACAAAUAAAAAGAUUCAACCAUAUAAGUAGAAAUAGUAUUUUUAUUCUUAUUAAUGAUAUUGAGUUUGAACAUACUCUCAUACAUAUACCCUUUCCCCACAAAAAUUCCUCCCUUAGAAUAAAUAAACUUAUCUGCCUCAAAAACAAGUUUGAAACCAAACUUAUUCAACAGACUUCCAGACACUAAAUUAUGUCUAACUUUUAGUACAUAAUAUACAUCAUUUAAGGUUAAAACCUUUCCAGAAGUGAAUUGUAGCUCAACAGACCCUUUGCCUUUGAUUGCUGCGGUAGAAGAAUUUCCCAUGUACAAGACAUUGUCAUUUUCACAUUGUGUAAACUUUGUGAACAUGCUUUUGUUUUUGCACACAUGUUUGGUUGCUCUAGUAUCAAUCCACCAUGUAUUAUCAUCUUGUGCCAUAUUAAUUUUAGAUAUCAUUGCAACGAACAUUUUGUUAUUAUCAGCCUCAGAAGAUGAUUUCUUCUUUAAAAAUCGACAUUCAUUCUUGAAAUGUCUCGGCUUUCCACAAUGAUAGCAUGAGCCCUUUUGUUUCUUUUUUAACUUAGGUGCUCUAUCAGUCUGUUUGAACUUUCUCUUGAAUGGUAUAGUAGUCUGUACUUCCUCCAUAACAUGCACUUUGGCAGUUUCAAAAUUUAGGUUCUGAUCUUGUUUUCAAUAUUCUGCUUCAAUAGGAAGAUGAUUUGCCAAAGCCUCAAGAGAUAUCUCAUCUUUCUUAUGUUUUAGACUUCUUUUAAAGUAUUUCCAAGAUGGAGGAAGUUUGUCUUCAUGGAGGAUACAACAAUCACUUCAUCCAUUUUCAUAUCAUAUUGCUUGAACAGAUUCAGCAUCUUUUCAAUAUCACGGUAUUGUUCCAUAACAAAACGACCAUCAACCAUUUGAUAAUUAUUAAAACGACUAACAAGAAAUUUUUUUGUUGUAACAUCUUUGGUCAUGUAUCUUGUCUCCAAUUUGUCCCAUAAUCCUUUAGCGGUGACCUCAUUUUGGUAAGUUUCGAACAAACCAUCAGAUAAACCAUUCAAUAUGUGGCCCUUACACAUGUAGUCAGCAUUGUCCCAUUUUUGUCUUUCUCGGGUUACAGCAACAGGUUUGUUUUCAUUCUCUUCAGGUCUUAGAGUAUCCAAAACAUAAGCAAUCUUCAAAGUUGAUAAUUAGAAGUGCAUCUUUUUCUGCCAUUGUCGAAAAUUGCCACCAUCAAACCGAUAAAGUUUGACAAAGUUGGAAGCCAACUCCCUUAGUGUUCCACUUUCAUGUGUUGUGGUAGUCAUCAUGAGAUAUAACCUUAAAAUUGUUAGUACAAAUCUCCGGUGAAGAAAAUCUCAAACACACGAACGAAACUCGAACAGAAAAAGAAGAAAUAGGACAAGGCUCCAAGGCAUGUAUCAAGUCACUAUCUUUAAGGUUAUAUUUGCCCUCACCUAUUUUCGGUGUGCAAAUAAGUUCCAAGCAAAUUAACCUCGAGGAUACAAUGAAGCCAAUGAUUAUUUGCGUUUUGCACUAACGAGAAUAGCCCACUACACACUAAGCAGUCAAGAAACUCAAUUUCUAUAAAGGAUUUCUACAGUAAUACUUUAUAAAAUAAAUCUAAUAAUAUUAGAAAAUGAAUGAAGGAAAGAAAUAAUAUUAGAAUUUGUUGGUAUGUUUUCCAAAUGAAGUCUCAUUCUUAUUUAUAAGAAUUUUCAUGUCUCUUCAUAGAGACAUCUUUCAUCAAUAGGUGUCUUUCUUAAUAAUAAUGUCUUUAAAAUAAACACAUAAUUAUUCAUUUAAUAUUAUAACUAUUCAAAUAAAAUUAUUUAAAUAGUUAUAAUUCUUUUUCAAAAAAUCAAAUAAUAUAACUUUUGAUUAAUUACAUCCAUUCAUUUAUAGUUAUUGGAACACUAUAAAUAUUUAAAAAUGUUCCAACACUAUUCAGUUGACCUCAAUUAUUUCUUUUAUGCCAAAGACUAGGAAAUGACUUAGUGUCAGAUGCUCAAAAGUGGCAAAGAAAGGAUUAUUAUUAUUCUGAAGUCCAUUCUGUCCAUAUCACUUCUUUCUUCCUAACAUAACACAAGGAUUAAGAAUUACUCUUUUUUUUCAGAUCUUCAAGGUUGGCUUGGCAGUGCAAGGAUUGAAACCUUGAAAAGCUAAGCACCAAAAGUACAGUUGAAACGGUCAGGUUAAGCACCUUUGGUAACUUACAUGAGCUCAAAUAAAACCACACCCUCUUUCAAGUGAAUCUGAACAGUCUAAAAAGAAAUAACUCUAUAUUCCAUUAACCAAAAAAUGGUUCAAUGGCAUUCAGUUUCAGUUAUUUUGGUCAGGCUUUUGCCAGAAGAAUCGUAAUUUAAAUGAUAUAGCAUCACAUCAAAUCCAGUAAUCAGAAGAAAAUUCCCUAAACAAAAUGAUUUGCAUAGGAUGAAAAUGGCCCAAAAAUACCAUCCUUUCCAAUACUGGUGAAUGUAAUAAUACCUUUUUUCUUACAUAUGGAUGCAACAGAAAUUCAUUAUGGUAUACCAUACAGAAGUUUCAAUGUGACUUCUAUUUCCACUAUCUUGCAUUUCUACAUAGUGCAAAUAUCAACAAUGAUAAGGAAUUCCUUAUGAAAAUAGCAGGUACUUGAAACUUUUUGAAAAUAGAAGAAAUGGACGAGUCUGGCGCAAUGGAUGAAAGUAUCUUAAGCUUCAAGGCUUUGACUUGAUAUGAAUCAGAAGAAUAAAUUAAGAAGUCCUCAUGGUAUAGAGCAAAAAGAGAUGGCAUUGCUUUAGCAAAUACUUGAAUGUUGCAAAGGACCUACUCAUUCAAAUCAACAUAACCAUUCUUACCAUCUUAGCAACCAACUUGAAACAUAAACUAGGCAGAUAACCCAAAUCUAAAAUUGGCUUUGCCAAAUGAAAUGACAUAACUGUAUGAAUUCUAGAACAAUGCAAAAUCUUAAAUGCUGUUAAAAUAGAAAACUACACAAUGAACUAUUGCAUUUACAUAAACAUACAUGGAUACAUAGAUGUACACCCAUGUUACAUAGUUUGUAUGCACAAUUGAAAAAAAUCAAUAAAAAUAUAGAUAUGGUGGGAUUUAGGCUUCCUUUGGAUUCAUCGCGCACAUAAUGCGUUGGAAUCUUUCAUAUAAUUUUGUCUUGGUUUUUAAUCUCACUACACCACAGUGAUUUGAAUGGCUGUUUGGGACACUUGCAGUGGCACAAACAUGCUGCACUAGAUAGAGAUAUCUUGACUGGUGCUAAAAGCUCCAGUCUACCCACUGGGGCAAUAGGUAUUUUUAGUAGACAAAAAUACCCAUACUUUUAUUUAUUUUUUUACCAUUUUAUCCUUGAAAGUUAAACUAAUUUCUUUCCCAACCUUAUUUGUUUUUAGAUUUGGGAACAAAACAAUUGUUUUGUUUUUCAUAUUUGAGAACUAAAAUAGUGAUUAUUGUUGGUUUCUCCCCUCUUUUUUGCUUUGUAUUUGGUUGUGGCUGCUACAUUUUAUCCUUUGCUUUUGUUAGAGUCUAUUUUUUGAAGGUAUUUUUCAUUAAUUUCUUGUCAUAGACUUCUGCAUAGAACAUGCAAACAAAGCUCUAACGAUGGUUUCUUUGACAGCCGAAUUUUGCUGAUGUUACUGACGGUAAUACAAAGAGUCGGGAAGGAAGGCGUCCUCAGAAAACCAAUUAUGUAAUCUCUCAUUUAAUUUCGCUUCAAGCAGCACAAUGAUGGUUGCUCCUUGAAUCUGCUAGUGAUUCUUGUCUCUUCUUUAUUUAUCCUAAUGUUUCCCCUUUUUUAUUUUAAUGUCUGUAGCGACAAGAACAGCUAUCCAAAUCCAUCCAAAAGUAAGAGGUAGUUUAAUGUCUCUAAAAAUGCCUUUAUUCAUUUUGAAAAGAUAGUCAUAAUCAAUUAUCCUUUCUAUAUCCUCGUUAUUGUUUACCAUGGAUCUUUGAAAAUUUUUUCUUUAGUGUUCAUCUUAUGGCUUUCAUCCUUUGUUCUGAUUUUGUUGAUCUGAUAGCAUUUUUUUUCUUUGUGUACAUUUCAAUUUACUGUUUAAACCUAGAUUUAUGAAAUGUGUCAAAAGUAUGGGCUAAUAUUGCCUACUUGUAAACUCCACUUGUUUAUUCCUGCACUAUCAUCGUAUAUUAGUUGAAAUUACUACCAUCUUAAAUAAUUAGUUAUACAGAUAAUAGAAUAUCCAUUAAGCACAUUUACUAGUGUAUAGGGAAUGCUUUAGACCACGUAACAAGCUAAUGUGGAACAAGCUGCUGGUUUGGCUAUGUCUUGUUUUCAUAUUUUCUAAUAAGAAUGUUGCAAAGGCUUACCCUUUUUAAAAGAAAAAGGGUUAGGAUGAUUUGAUAUUAUAAGUAGUUUUACAGUUUCGACCUUCAGAAACUAUGAGAUUGUUGCCAUAACCUUGAGUGAUUAAAUGCAUGCUUUUUUUUAGACUAAAGUAAAAAUUUGAUGACUAGUGUUGCUAAGAAAAACCAAACUACUCAAGUUUGCUUACACUUUUUCUGGUAGAAACCUAUUCGUACUAUUGUUUUAAUCCAAAUUCUAGAGAAUCUGAAAUGGUUUGUCAGCAUCAAGUGCAAUUUUACACUGGAGCUAAGCAGCUUAUUGCUUAUUUAUCCUAAUGUUUCCCCUUUUUUAUUUCGCUUCAAGCAGCACAGCGAUGGUUGCUCCUUGAAUCUACUAGUGAUUCUUGUCUCUUCUUUAUUUAUCCUAAUGUUUCCCCCCUUUUUUUUAAUGUCUGCUGCGACAAAAGCAUCUAUCUAAAUCCAUCCAAAAUUAAAAGGUAGUUUAAUGUCUCUAAAAAUGCCUUUAUUCAUUUUGAAAAGAUAGUCAUAAUCAAUUAUCCUUUCUAUAUCCUCGUUAUUGUUUACCAUAAAUCUUUGAGAAUUUUUUCUUUAGUGUUCAUCUUAUGGCUUUCAUCCAUUCAUGAUGUAUUAUUCUUAUUUUUUAUGAAACUAUAUUAUUCUAUCUAAUUAUAUAUUUAUGGUUUUAUGACAUUUAAAAUCAAAAUAAUAAUAGAUGGUAAAGACACGAAAUUUUGUGGAGGGAGAUAGUACCUUAGCAACAAAAGCUGUUUAGGAUGAUGAGCUGACGUUGAUAUUUUGUGAACUUUGCAUGAAUGAAUUCAAUGCUGGUAAUAGACCGACAACUCAUCUACACUCAAAAGGAUAGGAAAAUGUCAUUGCUCUUUUUCAAGCAAAAACACAAAAAAAAAUUAUGGAAAACCUCAAUUGAAAAAUAAGUGGGAUACAUUAAAAAAGGAAUGGAGGAGUUGCUUAAGGAAUCUACAGGUAUUGGAUGUGUCCAUCUAAAAAGACGAUUGAUGCUACCGAAGAAUGGCGAGCUAAAAAAAUACAGGUUAGUGUUAACUUUAUCAUUAUUUUAAUGCAUAAAGUUUAUUGAAAUUAAUAAUUUACAAUUAUAAAAAUCUUAAUAUAACAUUUAACAUUUAACAUGUUAUGUAGGAAAAUCCUGAUUUUAAAAUAUUUAAGAAGAAAUGAAUUGAACUACGACUGAAUGAGUUAAUGUGGCAAAUGUUUGGUAGCAUUGUAGCCACUAGAGAGAGUGCUUGGGCACCUUCGUCUGGUGUUCUUCCAAGUGGGGUUCCUAUGGGAGAUGAUACACCUAAUGAAGGAUUUGGUGAUUCAGAUGAACAUAGUAAUGAGAAUGAAGGUAUUCCUCUCCUAAUGAGGUACCAUCAAACCAUUCUCAUGAAACUCUUAAUCGAAGAAAGCAAACACUUGGGGUUGUACACGGUAAAUGAAAAAAAUCAAGUUCAAGUAGAAAAUCAUCAAGAAAUACAUUAACUACUCAGAUUGAGAAAUUGUGUGAGAGUAUGGCUAGUCCAAGGAAGUCAAUGAAUGAAAUUAUUUUUCCUCACUCUCAAUAUACUAUUUCAAAUGCAAUAGAUGCUUUGCGUGCUUUGGGAGAUGAAAUUCCAAAAAAAAAAGAUGAACUGUACUAUUUUGCCAUCAAAAUGUUCCAAAUACCGGUGAAACGAGAAGUGUUUUUGAACUUAGAUCCAGAUGUUAGGGUUUGGUGGCUUCGACAUGAGUAUGCUGAACAAAAUCCAAUUGCAUCAUUUUCAUCCUUGGUAGCAACAUUCUUAUUUCCCUUCCAACCAUACCAUCAACCACCUCCACCAUAAGCUCCUUAGAAUUAUUAUUGUAAUAUAACUAUACUACUCUUUUAUAUGUAAAACUAAUGUAUGAUAUUUUUUAUGUUUGGUACUUUUAUGCUAUGCUUUUAUUCAAGUUUCUGUGUUGUAUAGAAUGUCACAANNNNNNNNNNNNNNNNNNNNNNNNNNNNNNNNNNNNNNNNNNNNNNNNNNNNNNNNNNNNNNNNNNNNNNNNNNNNNNNNNNNNNNNNNNNNNNNNNNNNAGUUUUGAUAUGAAUUAUGAUACCCCUGAAUUAAGUGAAGAAGCUCAACGAAGAAUAGCCACAAUUGUUACCCAAGUUGAACACAACAAUUUUCAUGAAAAGGAAGAAUGUGUGUUAAGCAGUGUAUUGGUACACCAUGAAACUUAUUUCACUAUGCAACCGCGUAUGGAUUCAAAUUAUACAGGUCAAAUGUGGGUGGACGAAGUAUUAAAUGGGCAUGAUGAUCGUUGCAUGAAUAGUUUUAGGAUGCCAAAAAAUAUAUUUCACAACUUGUUGCGUGAUUUGCAAACAAAUUAUGGCUUAAAGCAUGGGAAAGUAUCGGCGAUGGAGAAGUUAGCAUUAUCAUUAUACAUUCUUGGAAAUAGAGAAUCAAAUUCAAAUGCAAUAGAGCGAUUUCAACGAUCUGGGGAAACUGUUAGUUAAAUUUUUACUGAUAUGUUGCAUAUAUUUGCUCAAAUGGGAAUAGACACGAUUAAAUCCACUGAAGGUCAAUUCGAGGAAGUACUGAACCAUAUUCGACAUGAUACAAGAUAUUGGCCUCACUUUAAGGUAAAAUUUACACAAUCUUUAUAUUUUUAAAAUAUAAAUUAUUUCUAACUUUUAUCUCAUUACUUGUAUUUAUUUUAAAGGAUUGUAUUGGGGCCAUAGAUGGAACACACAUAAAAGCAUGCAUUUCGCCUUCUUGUCAAAUACCUUAUAUCGGACGGAAAAGUAAACCAACUCAAAAUAUUAUGGCAGUUUGUGACUUCAACAUGUGCUUUAUUUUUGCAUUUCCUGGUUGGGAAGGAACAGCACAUGAUAGUAGAAUUUUUUUGCAAGCACUUAGAAAACAAUAGUUAAAGUUUCCACACCCUCCACCAGGUUGAACUUUAAUUUUUUAAUUAAUCUUUACAUAAAAAAAUUAAAUUUUUUAAAUUUUUUUUAAACUUGAUAUUACAUUUUACUUUUUUGUAGGAAAAUAUUAUCUUGUAUAUUCAGGAUAUCCACAAAUGGCAGGUUUUCUAGGUUCAUAUAGGGGGGAAUGAUAUCAUUUACCUAAUUUUCGUCGAGGUAAUCAUCAAGUAUCUAGAAAAAAAAAGAAAUAUUUAAUCAUGCCCAUUCUUCGUUACGCUCUAUGAUUGAACGAACAUUUGGAGUGUGGAAAAAAUAUUAAGAGAUAUUCCAAGUUAUUCAUUCAACAAACAAGUUUUAAUAGUUAUUGCAACAAUGGUUUUGCAUAAUUACAUUCGAAGACAUGCUUGGUCAAAUGAUGAGGAUUUUCGACAAUUUGAUAAUAUACCUGACUUGCCAGUCUUUUCAGGCCAUUUUGAUUGAGGUGAAUCGAGUUCUUCUAACGGUGAAAGUGACCUUGAAAUCGCUAUGUUAAGGGAAACCAUUACAACUAGUUUAAUGAAUCCAUAUUUGUAAAAACAUUUUGUAUCAUAACAUAAUUUCUAGUAAUAAUGAAACUUGUUAUGUCUUAUGUUACUAUAUAUUUUUUAUUAAAAACCAUCCGUUUAGAUACUUCAAAAUUUGAUCCAAGUAUAAUGUUACUAUUUGUGAAAAUAAUAUUUAUCAUUGUUAUAAAAGAAUAUUUAACUAUAAAAAAUUUAAAAUAAUUAUCAUUUUAUCUAAUAAAUAAUUUAAAUUGAUUAUAUAAUUCAUUAAAAUAUUUAAAAUAAAAUAUCGAAAGAUACAUUUUAAUAUUUUAUUAAAUGAAUUUAUAAAUUCACAUAUUUUAAUAAUUUAAAAAACUUCUAUUAUAUAUCAAUUCUAAUCUGAUGUCCUUAAUAGUCAUUUUUUAUUUUCACCUCACCGCUACAGCUACGUUUGAAUCCAAACACACACUCCACCAUUGUUUCUAAUCUCGCUGCUACAGUAUCCAAUCUCACCGCUACAGUAACUAAUCUCACCGCCACCGCUAUUUUUAACCUCACCGGAGGUAAACACACCGCCCAUCCAAACUAAGGGUGGGUUUGGAUGGGCGAUUGGGUACGGUGCGUUGCGUUUAGCUUACUUUUUGUCUCACGCUACAGUUUCUAAUCUCACUGCCAUCGCUGUUUUUACACUAACCACAGGUAAACGCACCGCCCAUCCAAACUCACCCUAAGCCUUAAACCUAUGUCAAUUGCAUUAAUAAAACUUUUAAUUUACUAUUCAACUAAAAAAAUUUUAUUUGUUUUUAUACAUUUUAUUUUUAGUAUGCACAUUUUAUUACCUUCAUUAGUUGUAUAUAUUAAUAAUAUAUUUGAUUGAUUUUAUGUCAGAAAUUAACUGAACACCGACUUAAGAUUGAUAAAAACUUUAUGUAAAUACAAAAAGACAAAGUAGUCCAUAUCUCUCAAAACGAUUUGACAUUAAAAGUUCAUUUAUCUAAAAACUUAACCCCACUUUUCUAACUCCCUUUUCUUUAAUUCAAACAUAUUUUUUCCCAUAUCAAUAAUUUCUCACUCCAACCAACGAAAAAUCGGAUUAAACUUAUAUAUGGUAUAAAGUUCGAUUUGGUACUAGAUAUGGAUGUGUUACCACUAUAUUUAAAAAUAUUUUCAUGUAUACAAAUAUAACCUAUAUAAAUAUAAAUUUUAAAUUAAUUAAAAUUAAAAUAAUUGAUAAAUGAAAACUUUGUAUUAAAUGAUAUGAAUUGAUAUACAUUAAUACAUGUCGAUAUUAAUAAGUACACGAAAUAUCACAUUAAUAUCAUUAAGAUUUUAAUCUAUGAAAAACACAAAUUAACUAAUUUUUUUAAACUAAAGACUAAAAAAUUAUUAAAAGAAAUAACAAAAAAAAUCAAUACAAUUAUAAUUCUAACCUUCCUAAAAACAUAAAUACGCGACCUAUAUAAGUCAUGGGUUCUAAAAGAACAAGAUGAUAAUAAAAUCCUAUUGAUUUAAUUUUUGGUAUUGAUCAAUAUUUUAAAAAAUUAAAAAUUUAGAUUUAUUUUAACUUAAUUUAUAAUAUCUUCUAUCAAAAUAAAAUAUGUUUAUUAAAUUAAAUUUAGAUUGCAUUUUAUCUCAUUUACUAAAAAAUAGAUAAAUUAAUUUGUAUACGUUAGAUAAAAGAGCAAACAACUUAUCUGUUAAACAUCAAUAGGAUAUACAUUUAACAUGUCAUGUGAAAUUAUUUGAUUAUUUUGUCGACCACAUUAAUUUUUAAUAAUAAAUUUUUUAAUAGAAAAUCAAUUUAUUUUUUUAAUAGAAGGUAAUUCAACUAAUUUAUUUAUUUAUUUUUAGUAUAAAGUAGAAAUGCAAUCCGAACGUGGAUACUUUUACCCAAAAUCCCGUCCUUGCAUGGCUGUCUUUUCACGUGUAUGAAAACCCAACCAGAAAAGGAAAAAAAAUAAAGAAGGGAAAAGUAGUUCAUAAUCAAAUUGGUGACAGCCCCCCACAAAAGCCAUGAAAGUUUUAAAUUAUUACAGCAAAUGUCUUUUAAUCCCCCCACUUGCAGACAAAUUCAAGUAUGAAACUUUAGCUUAAAAGCAAAGUCAACCUUUUUACUUUUGUCUUUCCGAACCUUCCAUAAAAAGAGGACAAAAUUUUGCCAACCUUCCUCAAUCUUUGUUUUCUCCUUCAUUUUUUAAUCACCAGUCAAAGUUUUCAAUACAAUUGUUAUAAUCUCGUGGGUGACAGCUGAGACUUUGGACUGCGGACAGAAAAGUUCUCCUUUUUCACACUUGAAUGCUUCGUUUUUCUUUGGUUUUUCUCGACCCUUCUUUAUAUCAGAUUGUUCUCUAUUUUGGUUCUUGUAGUUGAAACAGGUGACAACAAGAAGACCCAGAGUUUUAUUUUGGAUGGGGUCUUGUUUUAGUGCUAGAAUCAAAGCUGAGAGCCCUCUUCACAACGGUAUGCUGGGAAAUUUGACAACUUUUCAUCGACUAUGAUGGGUUUUCUUCAAAGUGUUCGUUUUUUGUGAUGUUUGUUAGGUGUUUGAUGUUAUGUUUGCAGGGGCUAAUUCAAGAUAUGGGAGCAAAAAUGGUGAAGAAAUGGGUGGUUCAAGCAGCAGGGUUUCUUCAAUGUCAAUGCCUAGAACCGAGGGGGAGAUUUUACAGUCUUCAAAUUUGAAGAGUUUCAACUUCAGUGAACUUAGAACAGCCACCAGAAAUUUCCGACCGGACAGUGUUUUGGGUGAAGGUGGUUUUGGUUGUGUUUUUAAAGGUUGGAUUGAUGAGAAUUCACUUACAGCAGCCAAACCUGGUACUGGUUUGGUUAUUGCUGUCAAAAGGCUUAACCAGGAGGGUUUUCAGGGUCACCAAGAAUGGUUGGUAAGUUUCAUUUCUUCCCUAAUUCCCACCCUUGAGCUCAUCAGGUUUCUCAAAAUCCUUGCUUUGCUCUUAGAUCAUUGCUUUCACCUUAUCUGUAUACACAUAAAUACAUACACACAUAUAUAUUUGUAUUAUGUAUGUUAUCUUGGUUGAGUAAGGUACAAUUCAGCUUGGUUAAUAUCAUGUGCAUUGACGUUUGAAACAUAAAAAAUAUGCUUUUUAAAGGGUCGGUUGUAGUUAUUUUAGCCAGCUACCUAGAGCCUUCAUUACCAUUCACUUGUUAUUCAAGUUCUACUCCGGUCAUCCUCUCGAUCGACUACCGAGCGCAUCUCGAUUUAUUAGUUUGCAAUGUUUGGUAAUUUAAUGAUGCAAGUGGAUUGCAGGCUGAAAUCAACUACCUGGGGCAACUGCAUCAUCCUAAUCUCGUGAAAUUGAUCGGUUACUGCUUAGAGGACGAUCAUCGACUUCUGGUUUACGAAUUCAUGCCAAAGGGCAGCUUAGAGAAUCAUCUUUUUAGAAGUGAGUUAUUCAUCUUUACAUCUUCCCUUUAUUGAGUCAAUUCAGUUGCUUACAUUUCAGGGGAACAGUCUUAAUCCAACAUUUCCAUUAUAAUGAAACAGGAAAUUCUUAUUUUCAACCACUUUCCUGGAACCUCCGGAUGAAGGUUGCUCUUGGUGCUGCUAAGGGCCUAGCAUUUCUACAUUCCGAUGAGGCCAAAGUCAUAUACAGAGACUUCAAAACUUCGAAUAUCUUGCUUGAUUCGGUAUGCAAACAUGUUUAAUUAUUGAAAUUUUCAUUGACUCUGUACAUCAAGACUUUAAAACUUAGAAUAUCUUGCUUGAUUUGGCCUGCAAACAUGCUUAAGUAUCGAAGUUUUCAUAACUCUAUUUCAAGCACUUUGAAUAUCUUGUUUAAUCCGGUAUGCUAACAUGGUUAAUUAUUGAAGUUUUCAAGACUAUAUCGAGACUUUAGAACUUUGAAUGUCUUUCUUGAUUCGCAUGCAAACAUGUGUAAAUAUCGAAAAUUUUCAUGGCUCGUACUUCAGAUUUAUGCAGCUCACUAACAUCUUUGUUCCAAUGUAAAAAAAUGGCAGAAUUAUAAUGCCAAACUGUCUGACUUUGGACUGGCUAAAGAUGGACCAACUGGUGAUAAGAGUCAUGUUUCGACAAGAGUCAUGGGUACUUACGGUUAUGCAGCUCCCGAGUAUAUGGCCACAGGUAGCUUUUGAAUUCCCACCUUCACUUUCAUAUAUAUGUGCGAAAUAUAUUCAGAUAUUUGAGACACUCAUUCUCGAGUAAGAGUAACAUAGACUGCAACUUCACUAAUCAUCCUCCCAAUGAAAUGUCUGUGCCUCAGUUGAAUAACUUUAUAUCUUAUACUAUUCUUACAAAUGCAACCUUUGCUAGGCAGACUUUUUUCCCUAAGUAUUUAUGUCUGCCAUAUAUUCUGGUGUAAGAGACACAACUCUCGAGUUAGAGUAACAUAGAAUGAGACUUCCCUAAUCAUAUUUUGGUUUCAUUCUUUCUUAUGAAGGUCAUUUGACAGCCAGAAGUGAUGUAUAUAGUUUUGGAGUUGUUCUUCUUGAAAUGUUGACCGGCAAGCGAGCAAUGGAUAAGAACAGACCUUCAAGAGAGCACAGUUUAGUUGAUUGGGCCAAGCCUUACCUUACCAGCAAACGCAAGAUUUUACACGUUAUGGAUUCUCGUAUCGAAAGCCAAUACACACUCGAUGCAGCAUUGAAAGCUGCUUAUCUUGCGCUGCAAUGCCUUUCUAUAGAACCGAAGCUUAGGCCUAAUAUGAAUGCCGUAGUGAAAGCACUUGAGCAACUUCAAGACUCCGGCCGUGAUCACAAAGGGGCCCCUCGAAAUUCAUCUGUUCUUAAUUCUCAUCAGCAUUCAAGGAAUGCUCACAAACAUCAAGCAAAAAAUGCAAAUGAUCUCGGCAACAGAAAUACUAUCUCAUAUCCUCGACCGGCUGCUUCUCCAUUGUGUACAUAAAGUAAAAAAUACCAGAUGCAUGCUUUUUAUUGUUGCAGUCAAUACUUGGAUGGACUUGGUAUCUUGAAGUGAAGUAUAUGUGUUCAAAUGUCUACCAUUUGUACAGUUGUUGAAUUCAGUAAUAUCUGAGUUGUGCAUUUUGAAUCAAUGGGGUCUCAAGGCCUUUAUACAAAGCUAAUAAAGGCUUCACUUACCUCUUGUUGAAGUGAAUGUGGGUUUUUCAUAUAUUUGGAGGAUUUAUUUCAUACAAAAUUUCGGUGUAUAUUUUCUAAGAAAAAUAAAGAAUCCAACUAAAUAUUUUAUAUUGUUUACAAAUAAUCUUAUAGUGAUUAUCCCAACUUGUUGAAGCUAUUUGUUGAUAAAUAAUUAUUUUAUUAAGAGAUGUUUGACUUUAGUUAAACAAUUUUUACUUUUCUCUCUUAUAAUAUAUAGUUAAAAUAUUACAAUUCUUCCCGGAGUAAUCCAGAAAGGUAAGCUCAAAUUUUUUUUCUAAAUGUCACACAACAAAUUUAUCCGGAAAAAUAACUGAAGUUAACAAUUUAACUUAAUUUUUAAUAAUUUUUAAAAUUAAAUUUCUAAAAAUAAAAGUAAAACAACUUAAUUUCAAAUAUAAUUAAAGUGCACAAAUUUAAGACAUAUUUUAAUAUAAAUAUAUAUUCAAUAUUUCUUAUUUAUUCAAGAAACAAUCAAUCAUUCAACAUCAAAGUAGGAGCUUUAACAACCAUUCUUAAUAAAUUUGACAUUGAAAAAAAACCGACCACUCAGAAUAUUAAAACAACCAUAUUCUUAUUGGACUGCCCAACUGGUUUGGUUUGUUUGAGUAAAUAUUUAAUAUUAUUGAAAUCUAGGUCAUAGUAUUGUUUUUGGGCUUCUAUAACCCACAAAGUAGUGCACCUAAAACAUGGAAUAAAACUUGGUUCCACUGUUUUGUUCAAUCAAAAUCAUUGCAGGAAACAUUAGUCAAAGACAAGUCCUCAUUACUUUUAUUUGACUUUUUUUUUCAUGUCUCAAGGAGGAUCCAAUCCAGAUGGUAACACUAAGGCCAGCAGGGUAACUGAUCACUGCUCCUUUUUCUUUUUUUCAUGUAGGCUUUGCAAGUUUGAUUAUAAUUUUCAAUCUCAUUACAUGAUGUUUAUUAUUAUUAUUAUUAUUAUUAUUAUUAUUAUUUGCAGCUUAUCAAUGAAUUCCCAGUGUUCACGAAUCAGAUUAACUUAUUAAUAGCAAAAUACGAGAAGCUAGUUGACACUAAAGCAACUCAGCUGGAUGAGAUCACUAGGUUGAAAGUCAUGGUUGCGGACAAAGAUGAAAAAAUCCGCAUACACAAACAACGGUGCCAUGAGCUUCAGAAAGAGGCGAACGAAUUGAGGGUGAACUUGGAGAAAACCAAGAAGGAACAUGAUGUGAAGGUAUCUGAGCUCAAGAAAAAGUUCAAGGCCAAGGAAGAGGAAGUAGGCAAAACGAUCAAUAAGGUUGAGGAGAUGGCUAACUCGAUGAUUUGGGAAAAGCUAAGAAGCUUGGACUUAGGCUCGGGUAUGAGUGUGUACUAGCAUUAGUCAUGUAUUGGAUGGGUGUUUUAAACAUCAUAUCUUAAAAUUUUGAUGGCUACUACCAUGAAUUUUUUUUGGUUGUAUUUUAACUAUAAAUUGUUGUUCUACUUGCUUGUGCAGACGCAGUUGGAAGACAGCCCAAAUACUUGUAGAUCAAGAAGUCGUCAUUCCUCAAGGUAAACUGUGAAAUUGAUGUUACACAUACUGAUACGAGCCAAGGAGGUGACACUCAAGGGAUUGUUUUUCCUAGUGGUCCAAUCACUCGAAGCAAGACACGACAAUUAAAAUCAAAGAUGAAUGCUUUUGUCCAAGACUUUGUUGCUACAAAUUUAAGUCAUCAUGUUCGUGACGUUGACAAAUACGGGAAUGUAAUUCACUGGACCAAUCUUGGAAUAGUGAAAGCCCAUAAAUUGGUGGAUUAAUGUAUCUUAUUAUUAUUAUUAUUAUUUACUUAAUUCUCAUUGGUUGGGACACAUCACUUAUGAGUUAAGUAAUUUUAUUGGUUAGGUUAUUAUUUAUUUAUUUUCUUAGAUAAUUUUAAAGAGUUUUUAUUAGGAUUCAAUUACUCUUGUAAUUUGCCUAUAAAUAGGCUUGCUUUCUACACAUUGGAGGAGGAAUAAAAAGAGAGUUUUUGUUUUCUUCCAAGGCACACAGGGGAUAGGNNNNNNNNNNNNNNNNNNNNNNNNNNNNNNNNNNNNNNNNNNNNNNNNNNNNNNNNNNNNNNNNNNNNNNNNNNNNNNNNNNNNNNNNNNNNNNNNNNNNNNNNNNNNNNNNNNNNNNNNNNNNNNNNNNNNNNNNNNNNNNNNNNNNNNNNNNNNNNNNNNNNNNNNNNNNNNNNNNNNNNNNNNNNNNNNNNNNNNNNNNNNNNNNNNNNNNNNNNNNNNNNNNNNNNNNNNNNNNNNNNNNNNNNNNNNNNNNNNNNNNNNNNNNNNNNNNNNNNNNNNNNNNNNNNNNNNNNNNNNNNNNNNNNNNNNNNNNNNNNNNNNNNNNNNNNNNNNNNNNNNNNNNNNNNNNNNNNNNNNNNNNNNNNNNNNNNNNNNNNNNNNNNNNNNNNNNNNNNNNNNNNNNNNNNNNNNNNNNNNNNNNNNNNNNNNNNNNNNNNNNNNNNNNNNNNNNNNNNNNNNNNNNNNNNNNNNNNNNNNNNNNNNNNNNNNNNNNNNNNNNNNNNNNNNNNNNNNNNNNNNNNNNNNNNNNNNNNNNNNNNNNNNNNNNNNNNNNNNNNNNNNNNNNNNNNNNNNNNNNNNNNNNNNNNNNNNNNNNNNNNNNNNNNNNNNNNNNNNNNNNNNNNNNNNNNNNNNNNNNNNNNNNNNNNNNNNNNNNNNNNNNNNNNNNNNNNNNNNNNNNNNNNNNNNNNNNNNNNNNNNNNNNNNNNNNNNNNNNNNNNNNNNNNNNNNNNNNNNNNNNNNNNNNNNNNNNNNNNNNNNNNNNNNNNNNNNNNNNNNNNNNNNNNNNNNNNNNNNNNNNNNNNNNNNNNNNNNNNNNNNNNNNNNNNNNNNNNNNNNNNNNNNNNNNNNNNNNNNNNNNNNNNNNNNNNNNNNNNNNNNNNNNNNNNNNNNNNNNNNNNNNNNNNNNNNNNNNNNNNNNNNNNNNNNNNNNNNNNNNNNNNNNNNNNNNNNNNNNNNNNNNNNNNNNNNNNNNNNNNNNNNNNNNNNNNNNNNNNNNNNNNNNNNNNNNNNNNNNNNNNNNNNNNNNNNNNNNNNNNNNNNNNNNNNNNNNNNNCUUCUUGUGUUAGCAGAUAUUAAAGGCACGCACAAUUCCUUCAUCCGUGUAGCCUCCAUUACAAAUUGCCUCGUCUAGUUUAUUGGCCUCUUAGAGCAAUUAGGGUCUUCAUUGUCUCUUUGAAGUUUGCACCUCCGUUAUUUGAUCUUGAUUAGUAACCCUCUCCAAACAUAUUUACAAGUUUUGAAUCAUUCAGAGAGUUAUUCUUUUGAGAGCUAACGAGUGAGGUUAUUAUUAUUUUUUCUUUCUUGUUCCUGUUUGUUUGAUCUUUCACAGAUACCAUGCCGCUCACUAGAUCCCAAACUAGUAAAAAUGAAGAGGAUGAGCAAAAAAGAGAGAACGAUCCUUUGGUCGAGUUGUUACAAAAAGAGAUGAAAAAGUUGCAAACUCAAUUCGAACAUCGCAUGACCCAGAUGUUACAAGUGCAAAGGGAGUAUCUUGAUACAAAACUUACAACUCAAGAGAGAUACAUUGCCGAUAAUUACAAGAAGUUGAACGAAGCCUUUAUAAGCCAAUCAAAUUCGCAAGAUCAAACUUUUAAACGAAGGGAGGACCAUGUUUUUGAUGAUGACUUUGAGUCCGAGUAUGUACCUAGAGAAAGGUUGGAACGAAACGAUGACACCCCUAAACCAAAAUUUCCUUCUUUCUCAGGAAAGAAUGAUCUUGAUGCUUACCUUGAUUGGGAGGAAAAGAUGGAAGCAGUCUUUGCUUGUUACAAUUACUCUGAUGAGAAAAAGGUAACAUACGCUGUCACUGAGUUCAUUAAUUAUGCACUAACAUGGUGGAAUCAAUUAUGUAAAAGCAGGAUUCUUUAUAGAGAGCAACCUGUUACUACUUGGGUUGAAAUGAAGCGCAUCUUGCGAAAACGGUUUGUUCCACCAUACUAUUAUCGAGAACUCCAUCAAAGACUCCAACAUCUUGUUCAAGGAGAUAGAUCUGUGGAUGACUACUACAAAGAGAUGGAGACUAUUCAGAUUAGAGCCAAUCUUGUUGAAGAGGCUGAGGUGACUAUGGCUAGAUUCCUUAUCGGCCUAAAGCCUGAGAUUGCAAAUCGAGUUGAGUUACAACACUAUAUGGAUGUUGAAGAGAUGCUUCAAACUGCACUCACCAUUGAAAAGCAAUUACGAAAGAAAGGGACAACGAGGGGUGUUAGUUCAGUUUCUAAUCCUGCUUGGAGAGGAAAUUGGCAAAAACAAGAUGAUAGAUUGUGGAAUGGGAGAGAUGCACAGUUCAAGUCAAAUGAGCCUAGAACUUACUCCAAAGAUAUAGGUAUACCUAAUUCACUUAAAGGUUCUACUUAUACUAAUCGAGCUCCAUCUUCUUCUUCUACUUCUCCUAGUGCCAUUAAGCAGCCAAAAUAUAUUACCUGCUUCAAAUGCCAAGGAAUGGGUCACUAUGCUCGAGAAUGCCCUAAUAAAAAGUCAUUGGUGAUUCGAGAAGAUGGCGAGGUUGAUUUUGAGUCUGAUAACGAAGAUGAGAUGCCUCCUUUGGAAGAUGCUGAUGAUGUGCAUACUCAUGAUGGGUAUGAAGAAUACUUGGAGUAUGGUGAGAAAGCACUUGUUGCUCGAAGGGCUUUAAAUGUCCAGUUUAAAGAGGAAGGGCGUGAACAAAGAGAUAACAUUUUCCACAUGAGAUGUUUGAUUAGUGGACAACCUAGUUCAUUGAUCAUCGAUAGUGGAAGUUACACCAAUGUGGUAAGUUCUUCCCUUGUUAAGAAACUUGGCCUACCUUGUGUGAAGCAUCCAAGGUCAUACCGCUUGCAAUGGUUGAAUGAUAGUGGGAAGGUAAAAGUAUCUAAACAAUGCUUAGUUUCAUUUUCCAUUGGUAGAUACUCUGAUAAAUUUUUGUGUGAUGUUGUUCCAAUGCAAGCUGGGCACAUAUUACUUGGGCGGCCAUGGCAGUUUGAUCGACGAGUAAAUCAUGAUGGUUUCCUUAACCAAUAUACCUUUGUGUUCCUUAGAAAGAAGUUUACUUUGGCCCCACUUCCUCCUAAAGAAGUCUACAAUGAUCAACUCAAACUUGCUAGUGAGAUGGGUAAGGGAAGUGAGGUAAAACCAUUGAAAAAGGCUGAAAGUAAAUAGGCCCUUAGUGUUAAAAGCCAACUUAAAGGCCCAACAUUGGUGAGUGAUUGCACACACAAGUCACGAGAUAAGAAAGUGAGUUUAUUCACUAGGUUUCGAGAUAUCAAAUUUGCUCUUUGUACAAAACAAACAUUUGUAAUUAUUAGGUUUAGGGAAAACUUUGUUUUGACUAACCCUAAUACACAUUUGCCUAGUUGUUUUGUUGAUCUUUUGCAGGAUUUUGAGGAUGUAUUUCCUUCUGAAAUGCCUAAGGGAUUACCUCCUUUACGAGGGAUUGAACAUCAAUUUGACUUUGUGCCUGGUUCGAGUAUUCCGAAUAGACCAGUCUAUCGAAGUAAUCCUGAAGAAACCAAGGAGUUGUAAAGGCAAAUUGAAGAUCUCUUAGAGAAAGGGUUGAUUCGUGAGAGUCUAAGCCCUUGUGCGGUCCCUAUACUUUUCGUCCCAAAAAAAGAUGGUUCUUGGAGAAUGUGUGUUGAUUGUUGUGCUGUCAACAAGAUCACGGUAAAGUAUCGAUAUCCAAUUCCUCGAUUAGAUGAUAUGUUGGAUAAGCUUAAUGGUGCAUGCAUUUUCUCUAAAAUUGACUUAAAAAGUGGUUACCAUCAAAUAAGAAUGAAAUAAGGUGAUGAAUGAAAAACUGCUUUUAAGACUAAGUAUGGCAUGUAUGAGUGGUUAGUCAUGUCAUUUGGCUUAACUAAUGCUCCUAGCACAUUCAUGAGACUAAUGAACCACAUACUUAGACCUUUUUUAGGAAAAUUUGUCGUUGUGUAUUUUGAUGACAUACUGAUUUAUAGCAAAACUUUGAAUGAUCAUGUUAGGCAUGUUAAAUUAGUAUUGGAUGUGUUAAGGCAUGAACGACUCUUUGCUAAUCUUGAAAAAUGCACCUUUUGUAUGGAUAAGCUUGUUUUUUUGGGUUUUGUGAUAAGUUCUACAGGAAUCCAUGUGGAUGAGGAGAAGGUAAAGGCAAUUAAAAAAUGGCCUAUCCCUAAAAUUGUUUCUGAGGUAAGGUCUUUCCUUGGGUUAGCCGGUUUCUACCGUAGGUUUGUUCGUAACUUUUCCACAAUUGCUUCGCCUUUGACUGCACUUAUUAAAAAGGAUGUAUCUUUUCAUUGGACAGAUAAGCAAGAAUUAGCAUUUAAUGAACUUAAAGAUAAAUUGUGUAAUGCUCCUAUUCUUGUUUUACCUAAUUUUGAAAAGACCUUUGAGAUUGAAUGUGAUGCNNNNNNNNNNNNNNNNNNNNNNNNNNNNNNNNNNNNNNNNNNNNNNNNNNNNNNNNNNNNNNNNNNNNNNNNNNNNNNNNNNNNNNNNNNNNNNNNNNNNAAACCACUAGCCUACUUUAGUGAGAAACUUGGUGGAGCACAUUUGAACUAUUCGACCUAUGAUAAAGAGUUGUAUGCCUUGGUAAGGGCAUUAGAAGUUUGGCAACAUUACCUUUUACCAAAGGAGUUUGUGAUUCACACUGACAAUGAAUCACUUAAGCACUUAAAGGGACAAGGUAAGUUGAACAAGCGACAUGCGAGGUGGGUUGAAUUCAUUGAAUCUUUUCAUUAUGUUAUAAGGUAUAAGCAAGGUAAAGAUAAUAUUAUGGCUGAUGCUCUAUCAAGGAGGUACACUUUACUUAGUACUUUGCAUACUAAUUUAUUAGGUUUUGAGUAUCUCAAAGAUUUAUAUGCCACUGAUUCUGAUUUUUCAAGCAUUUAUGACGCAUGUGAACAUGGUGCAUUUCACAAAUUUUAUAAGCAUGAUGGCUAUCUUUUUCGAAAUAAUAGACUAUGCUUACCAAAUUGUUCAAUGCGAGAAUUGUUGGUUCGAGAGGCUCAUAGUGGUGGUCUUAUGGGUCAUUUUGGAGUCACUAAGACUUAUGAUGUUUUACAUGAGCAUUUUUAUUGGCCUAACAUGCGAAAACUUGUUGAGAAAAUUUGCUCUACUUGCAUUACUUGUAAACAAGCUAAAUCCACUGUGAUGCCUCAUGGUCUAUAUACUCCUCUUCCUGUUCCUAGUUCACCUUGGACUGACAUUUCAAUGAAUUUUAUAAUAGGUUUACCAAGGACAAAGCAUGGACGAGAUAGCAUCUUUGUGGUUGUGGAUCGAUUUUCUAAAAUGGCUCAUUUCAUUCCAUGCUAUAAGACUGAUGAUGCAACCCAUGUUGCCGAUCUAUUUUUUCGUGAAAUUGUGAGAUUACAUGAAAUCCCAAGGACUAUCGUUUCUGAUAGAGAUGCAAAAUUUCUUAGUCACUUUUGGAAGGUGUUAUGGGGUAAGUUAGGUACUAAACUACUUUACUCUACUACAUGCCACUCUCAAACUGAUGGUCAAACCGAGGUGGUAAAUCGAGUUUUGGGAUCUUUGCUUAGAGCCAUAAUAGGUAAGAAUGUUAAAUCUUGGGAAGAAUGGAUACCCUAUGUUGAGUUUGCUUAUAAUCAUUCUGUUCAUUCUUCCACAGGUUUUACUCCUUUUGAGAUUGUAUAUGGCUUUAAUCCACUUACUGUUUUAGAUUUGCUUCCUUUACCUUUGAAUGAGAUUGUUAAUUUAGAUGGUGAAAGGAAAGCUGAUUUAGUGAAAGAGAUCCAUGAGAAGGCUCGUAAAGCCAUUGAGAAAAAGAAUGAGUCCAAUGCACAUCGAGCUAAUAAAGGGCGAAAGCAAGUCUUGUUUGAACCUGGAGAUUGGGUAUGGGUACAUAUGAGGAAGGAACGAUUUCCUUCUAAGAGAAAGAAUAAACUUGAUGCACGAGGGGAUGGACCAUUCCAAGUACUCUAGAAAAUAAAUGACAAUGCUUAUCAUAUUGAUCUUCCUGGUGAGUAUAGUGUUAGUGCUACUUUCAAUGUUUCUGAUCUUUCUCCUUUUAAAUUUGAUGCAGGUUCAGAUUCGAAGACGAAUCUUCUUGAAGAGGGGGAGAAUGAUACGAGCCAAGGAGGUGACACUCAAGAGGUUGUUUUUCCUAGUGGUCCAAUCACUCGAAGCAAGGCACGACAAUUAAAAUCAAAGAUGAAUGCUUUUGUCCAAGACUUUGUUGCUACAAAUUUAAGUCAUCAUGUUCGUGACGUUGACAAAUACGGGAAUGCAAUUCACUGGACCAAUCUUGGAAUAGUGAAAGCCCAUAAAUUGGUGGAUUAAUCUUUUAUGUAUCUUAUUAUUAUUAUUUACUUAAUUCUCAUUGGUUGGGACACAUCACUUAUGAGUUAAGUAAUUUUAUUGGUUAGGUUAUUAUUUAUUUAUUUUCUUAGAUAAUUUUAAAGAGUUUUUAUUAGGAUUCAAUUACUCUUGAAAGAGUUUUAUUAGGAUUCAAUUACUCUUGUAAUUUGCCUAUAAAUAGGCUUGUUUUCCACACAUUGGAGGGGGAAUAAAAAGAGAGUUUUUGUUUUCUUCCAAAUUUGUGUGAGGUAAAUUUUUGAGAGUAGAGUGAUUCUUCUCUUGCUAUUUAAUUUGGAGUUUGUUACUUUCAAGGGUAUUUCAGAGUUACAAAUAUUAAAAUUUCUUUCCCGUUCAUCGGUGUUUCUAGAGGUUCUUCUUCUAGGGGUUUCGUAGGGAGCCGCUCAAUCAUUGGCGUUUUUGGUUACAAGUUAACCAAGGGUUCCAUAGGGAAAAUCUAUCCUUAUAUUAUUAUUAUUUAACUAAUUUUAUUUAUUCUCGUUUUAUUUCUAAUUUGUGUUUCUCUUGUGUCUAGAUCCGGGGUUUCCGCAUCACAUACAUACAUACAGACCCUUUUGAGUGGUUAUUAGCAAAUAAGAUGUUUUGGAUACCAAUUAAUUUUGUCAUAUUGUUGAAAAAUGGUCAACCAUGCUGCUGUUAUGUUUAUGUUUUUGUUAAAGUACAUGCUAUUAUGAUGAUUUUGUUGAAUGCAUACAGCUUGUAUGCAUGCUGCAGCAAUUGUGCAUGUUGUAGCAACAUAUUUUCUGUUUUAGUUGUAAUGUAAUUUAGUUUGGUUGAAAAUGAACUUCGAUGUUGAUGUUUUGAUAGGAUGAGUGAGUGAUAAGUCAGCUUAUCCAUGUGUACAAGCAAUGUUUUAAUAAUUCCAAUGCUAAUUAGUGGGGUUAGUUGAAUAUUUGGUGAUGUAUUUUGACUAUAAAUGUAUUGUUUUCAUAUUGAAUGAGCAAGCAUAUCAGUUGUGUAAAGCAGAUUGCUUCCUUGCUGCACGUUUGUGAGCAAGUAAAUUGUUCUUUGUUUCUUCCUCAUUUGUUCUCUGUAUUGUUCUCUGUAUUGUUCUCUUCUUUUGCUACAGUCAAAAACCCAACAAAUUGUAUCAAUAAGCCCAAGUCUUUGAAGGCUUGUUUUUGCUUCUACUGCUUGUUAAGAAAGACAAAAAGCUAUUAAAGCCUAUCAUCUUUGAGGGCUACUUGUAAAAAAAAGACAACAACAGCUCACCCCUGUGAGACUCCCAAACAAGCUUGGGAUAAACUGAAGGAGGAGUUGAUGAAGUAUGUGCAUGAAGACACUAAGGCAAGAUGUAUUUGAAGGCAAGUUGCCAACCAAGGCUGUGAAGGACAAGAAGACUCCAUUUGAAGAACAAAUAUUUGGCACAAAAGACUAGGAUAGUCAAUUGUGUGAGCCAAAUUUUGUUGAUAAUGAGGCGAAGGUUAAAGAUGAGUUGAAAAUGAAUUGUUUAAGUAGAGUCAGCUUGAAAGAAAGCAUCUUGGGAUUGCUAAGCUUAAAAAAGAACUGGUGAACGAUUGGUAUUUGUAGCAUGGAGGUCAAUGAGGAGUGUUGAAAAAUGGUCAAGCUUUUAAGGCAUAGCAUUGAUUAUGCCACUCUGUUAAACAGAGUCUCGAGUCUAUGGCGACCUUCAAAAUCGUUUCGAAUCAUGGACGUGGAAAAUGGGCAUUUCCUCGUAAAAUUGCAAAGCAAAGAAGAUUAUGGCAAAGUCCUUACCCAAUGACCUUGGAUUGUGUUCGAUCAAUACCUUACGGUGUAGCCAUGGACAAUGGAAUUUAACACGUUUCAGCCUUUCUCAACGAUGGUUAUGGCGUGGAUACAACUACAGGCCUCCUCGGCUAUCUAUAUAACAAAAAGAUCCUUGAGGAGAUUGAUGGUUUAGGCUCCAUUCUUCAUUGCGGCUGAGAUGUGCUUUUAGCCAAAAAAGCACUUUUCUUUAAAAAGCAAUGGAGAACACCUUCCAUUUGAUGGCAAAAUAUCAGCUUCUUAGAAGGACUUUUGGGCAGAUGAAAAGUAGAUUUUUUUAGCUUUUCAGCCAAAAAGUCCUUUUGGGUUGGUUACUUUACCUUUUUAGCCACACGACGCUGGCUCCCUCUGCUGCUACACUGCUCUCUGCUCUUUGCUAUUUGCUGGUUCCCUCUGUUGCUACACUGCUCUCUGCCCUCUGUUUUGUUCUGCCCUCUGCUGGUGAGUUUAUCUUUUUCUUCUCUUCUUCUCUUCUUCUGUAUAUUGAUUGAUUUUCGUCUGUGAUUGAUUUUCCUGAGGAUUAAGUUGGAUAUAUUUUUUUGUUGGAUAUAUUUGGUUAAACUUAUGUUGCUGGAUCUUUAAGAAGAUAGCUAUGAUUGAAAACAAAACCUUGAAACUUGUCUGUGGAGACAGAUCCCACGGAUCAUUCUUUUCUUUUGGCACAUUUUCUUAAUGUUUAUCUAAGAAAAGAAUUAGAUCUCGUGAGUCGUGACCGCUGCUGUAACUUGGAGAUUCUAGAAGAGGCACAUUUGUCAUUGGUUUAUUUAAUUUAAAAUUGGAAUAAAAAAGAAGAGGGGCAUAAAUAUUCCUGUGCUGUGCUGCCUUCCUCAGAAGGGAAAAAAGGGUCCAUUUUGCGUCGAAUUUUCAACGGUAGCCGUAGGGUUCCAAGCACUAACUGCCGAAAUUGUUGAAAUCAUGUCCAAUUCCAAAAGUCUAACCAGUCACCCCCAUUGAAUCAGUAGUCAACUCUAACUCCCAUCCAUGCCACCCUGACAUUGAAUCUAUUCUUCCCAGUUUCAUCCAAGUUCUCAUUCAAAUUUAUAUAUCUAGACUCAUUCCAUGUUGGAAACAAGCAUACAUUCUCCACGCUAUGAGUCAUUGCAUGAUGGAAAAUUAAGUAACUAUAUAUGAACGUGGAUCAAAGAGACUGGCAAGUUGGGGAAUACCUUUUAUCGGACAACAAAAACUCUUCAAUGCAUACACUAAACGAGCUGAUUAUUCCAAGCCAAAAUUUAAACAAUAGGCAGGUACCCAUUGGUGCUGGGCUUGACUCUUAUAGCCUUUCCCCUAAUUAUAGGUUGAGAUAAUUAUGAAUCAUAUUGAAAAUUGAAAGGAAAGCCAAGGCCUUGGUCUUUUUUCCCCAGAUGCAGUAGCCAAUUGUUUUAUUAGUUGCUUCCUUCCAAGUAAACGUUUUAGUGGAGUUUAGAAAUUAAAUUGUGGGCUGAAAAUGAUUCUCACAAUAAAUUUUUGUUCAUGUAUAUAGUUAAUGUAUAUAGUUAAAUUUUUUGUUCAUGUAUAUAGUUAAUUUUUUAAUCAUGUAUAUAGUUAGAUUUUUUAUACUGUUUUUUGUUAAUAUUGUUUUUUGUUUAUGUAUAUAGUUAAAUUUUUUAUACACAUGUAAACAUAUAUAUUUAUGUGACAUUUGAUUUUCUUCAUUGCUUUACUGGCUGAAACGAAUCUGUUCGUAUACAAAAUAGAUGAGUACUUCGGCGAUUGAAGUUAGUGAUGAAAAAGUGAAAGUAAUGUGGGAUAAGAGAUUGACAAACAUAUUUUGUGAUAUUUGUAUUAAAGAGAUAUUAAAAGGCAAUAGGCCUGGUACUCAUUUCACAAAAGAUGGAUGGUUGAAAAUAAUGACCAACUUUGAGAAAGAAACGGGCAAGAUUUUUUCACAAAGACAACUUAAAAAUAGGUGGGAUGCCUUAAAAAAAGAAUGGAAAGCUUGGAAGAAACUUAAAGGCGAAGAUACUGGUUUAGGGUGGAAUCCUAUAAAAAGAACCGUUGAUGCAUCUAAUGAAUGGUGGGAGAGUAGGGUCCAGAUACAUUAAAAAUUCUAAAUAUUUUUUAUUUUUUUUAUUUAUGAGGUUAUUGUCAAUUACUAUUAUUAAUCAAUCAUUUUAUAUACAGGUUGUGCCUGAAGCUAAAAAAUUUAAAACAUCGGGCAUUGAUCCUGAAUUCGAAGGGAAGUUGGAUCAAAUGUUCAUGGGGAUAGUUGCAACAGGUGAUAAAGCAUGGGCACCUUCUUCUAGUACACUCCGUAGUGAUUUUUUUGAGGAUGUUAACAACGAAAUACCUAAAGAGAGUGAAGAAGAAAAUAUGAGAAAUGAUGUUCACAUUUCAAAUGAUGUUCAAAUUGAUGGAAACAGUCAAAAAAGAAAAAAUCCUGAGACGUCAAGUCCACAUUUUAAAACUGGAAGAAAGAAAUCCUCAAAGCAAAUUGGAGGGGCUGCAAGAUUGUCUAGUCAAAUAGAAAAACUAUGCAAUGCAGCUGACAAUAUGAGUCAAGUCACAUCUAGUUUGACUCCUGUUAUGGAUCCAUAUGGUAUUCCACAAACAGUCAAAAUGCUUGACAGAAUGUCGGAAGAAGUUCCAGAAGCUAGUCCGCUAUACUUUUUCGCACUUAGAUUAUUGCUCAAUAAGGCCAAGCGAAUUAUGUUUUUAUCAAUUAAUCCCAAGAUUAGAGCUUUGUGGCUUAAAACGGAAAUGAAGGAUAGUUGAAAUUUUUUUUAUCUUCUAGGGUUCAAAUAUAUCUAUUUAUGUGUAAUCUUCUAGUUAUAAUGGCUUAAGCAAAAUAUGUUUUUAUCAAUAGUUAUUUAUGUUUAGUUUUUAGAUAUUGAACUUAUGUUCUACUUAUUUAUGUGUAAUCUAGUUUUAUUAAUAGUUGUUUAUGUUUGGUCUUUAGAUAUUGAAUUUAUGUUCCACUUAUUUUUUACUAAAUUAGUUUUAUUAAUAGUUGUUUAUAUGUGAUUUUGGAUAUAAAAUUUAUUCACAGGUGAUGAGUAUAGUUGAGGAUUAUAGCGGUGAUGAAAGUGAUGAUGAAAGGGAAAAGAAAGAUUUUACAACGCAUGGAAUGUUUUAACCGAAUAUUUGUUGUUGCAUCUUCCUCCGUGCAAUUAUAUUACGAGAAGUAUAUAUUGAAGCAACCAUGCAUGGAUUCAAAACAAUCAGGUGAGACAUGGAUCCGAGAGAUCCUUGACGGUCACGAAUCACGUUGUAUGAUUAAUUUUAGGAUGUCUAAAAUGGUAUUCACAAGUUUGCUAAGAGUUUUGGAGACAAGAUACAACUUGCAAACUUCAAGAAACACAUCUUCUAGUGAAAUAUUGGGAAUUUUUUUAUACAUCCUGGCCACCGGUGCAAAAGUUUUCCAAUGUCGAGAAAGAUUUCAAAGGUCUGGAUCAACAAUAAGUCGAUACUUUGCAGUUGUGUUUGAGAAAUCAAGGAUGACCACUGAUCUAAUUGCACCCGAAGAUCCUUUUUUUAGCUCAAUACCCGAAUAAAUACGUAAUGAUUCUAGAUAUAUGCCGCAUUUUAAGGUUAAAAUUUAAUUUUAUAUUAUUAUAUUUUAAUAUAUUUGGUCGACUAAAAAUAUGCACGAGAGUAAUAUGAUUAUUUGUUCAGGAUUGCAUAGGUGCAAUUGAUGAUACUCACAUUGCGGCUAUUCUUCCACCAAAUGAACAAAUUCCCUAUAUUGGAAGAAAAGGUAUCCCGACUCAAAAUUUUAUGGCAGUAUGUGAUUUUAAUAUGUGUUUCACAUUUGUCAUGGAUGGAUGAGAAGGAUCGGCACAUGACACUAGAAUAUUUCUUGAUGCAAUUCGAGAUCCAAAAUACAAAUUUCCGCACCCUCCAAAUGGUUAAAUGUUUUUAUUUAUAUGUGAUUUUUUAAAUAAUAAAGUAUAAGUUCUUUAAUUAUUUUUUUAUUAAAAAAAUUCUUGAAUUAAUUGUUUGUUAUAUUAUGACUUGUAGGAAAAUAUUAUCUUGUUGAUUCUGGAUAUCCUCAAAUGAAAGGUUAUCUUGGACCAUAUAGAGGUCAAUGAUAUCAUUUACUUGACUUCCGAAGAGGUAGACCGAUUUCUGAUAAAGAAGAGAUAUUCAAUCAUUCACAUUCAUCAUUACGUAGUGUGAUUAAAGGAACUUUUGGUGUUUUGAAAAAAAAAAUGGGUCAUUUUAAGGGAUAUGCCAAGUUAUAGUUUUGAAAAGCAAAUGAUGAUCGUUGUUGCUACAAUAACGAUACACAAUUUUAUCUGAAAACAUGUCGGCCGAAAUGAUGCAGAUUUUAUAGAAUACGAAGACAUUAACUCGGCAUAUGAGAAUAAUAUUGAUUCAGAAAAUGCGCAUGGUCCACAAAGUGAUGAUGAUGACGACGACGACGAUGAUAGUGAUGAUGACGGUGAAUCAAACAAUUUUAGUGGUUUUGAAAUUGAAUUGACAAGAGAUGCUAUAGCUUCUAGUUUAAUGAAUUCACUUUAAAUUGUAAAUGCUAUUGUAAAAUUUUUAGUAUUUAUAUCUGAUAUAUAAAUAUUAUCCCCUUUUUAAAACUUCAACCCAAAUAUAUCUAAUAUUUUAAUUUGUUAGGUUUGUGUUUUCUAUGUUAUGUUAAUAUCUAAUAUGUGUUAUAUAUUCAAAUACAUUUUAAAAUAAAAUAAUACAAAUGUGUUAAAAGUAUUAAUUAAAAAUAAAAAAUAAUUUUUAUAUUAAUAUAAUUGUGUCAAUAUCUAAUUACAAAUAUUUAAUUAUUAUAUUUAAAUAUUUAAAUCUAGUUUAUAUAUUCUAAUUAAAUUUAAUAAAUAAUUAAUAUUAAUUAUUUAGAAAUAUUUAAAAUUAAUAUUAUAUAUUAAAAUAUUAACAGUAAGUUAUAAUAAAUUAUUUUUUUAUAUUUUUACUAAAAUAUCGCAAUAUUAAUUAAUUUAAACAUUAUUUAAAUACAUAUUUAUUAUUUUAUAAUAUCAUGUCUAAAAUAGACAUUUUAUUGUUUAAAAGUACUUUUUGACAGCAAUAUAAAACAUUUAAAAUUUCAAAAACACUUCUUAAAAAGUACAUCUCCACAGCACUUUUCAAAAGUAAUGAAAAACUAAGCCUUAAUAAGUAAGGCUGCAAUUUUAACACUGAUAAUAGACUAAGGGGACGUUUUACAAAGAUGGUUAUUUUUGUGAAUUUAGAUAAACCCUUAACAUCCCAGAUUAUGAUUAACGAUAGACUUCAAAAAAUUGAAUAGGAAUCCUUACCGUCCAUUUACUUCUCUUGCGGGCGGUAUGGUCAUGUGAAGGGGCUUUGUUCUUUCUCGAAUGGGGAUAAAGAUGGAUCUGGUGAAAAAGAGGGGUUGAAAGUCACAGAUUCGGUAAUAGAUUUUUCGGUGGAAGACUCUGCAAAUACGGUCCUUGGAUGGUUGUUGAAAGACGUACUCGCUGGAAUGUGAAGGAUACUCGUAAACCGACGGUGAAUUUUUUGAUUAACGGUGAAAGGGAGUCUAAAUUCAGGGCACUUUCUACGAGGGUUAAUUGAAAAAGGGGAAAAGGAAGAAUUAAUGGCAGAUAUUUCGGGAUUAAAUUUCAGAAAAGCUGAUUUCAUUAAAAGAUUAGAAAGGAAGAAUUUUAAAGGGAAAACAAACAGGAUUGUUGGGCUGGAUGAGGAAGCAAUGGGUGUAGGCAAUGUGGGUUGUGGGAGAUUAAUUGGGUCAAGUAAACAGGCUGAAAAUAUGGUUGUUGUGUCUAAGGAAUAUGGGUCGUCUAAGGUGGGGAAUUCGGCUUUGGGCUUGAGUCAAAUGGGGGUAGCUAGGGGUGAGCAAAAUUCGAUUCGACUCGAAAAAAUAGAAAAAAAAUUCGAAUUUCGAGUUAAACGAAUCGAGUUAUUCGAGUUAUUUGAAUCAACUCGAAUUUUUUUUUUUUGAAUUUCGAGUUCGAAUCGAGUUGAGUUUUCGAAUUCGAAUAACUCGAAUAAUUUGAAUAAUUCGAAUAUGAAACUAUAAUAUUUUACAGUUUUACCCUAAACUGCCAAACUUUUUUACUUUUCCCUCAAAACUUUUACUCCUUCCCACUUUUCCCCCAAAACUUUUACUCCCCUCCCCUCCCAACCCCCAAUCUACCCAAAAUCCAUUUCCCACCAAAAUUUUACUCUUCCAUUAAUUUUUUUUCAAAAUUUUACUCUCAAAAACCCUCAAAACUUUUUAUUUUCCCCCAAAAUUUUUACUCCCUCCCACUUUUCCCCUAAAACUUUUAUUCUCUUCCCAUCCCACCUCCCAUCUACCCCAAACCCUCCCCCUCCAAUUUUUUUUUUAAUAUUUUUCCUCCAAAAUUUUACUCCCCCUAUUUACUUUCCCUCAAACUUUUAUUCCCCAAAACUUUUUAUUUUUCCCCUAAACUUUUACUUCUCCACCAUUUACUCUCAAAUAAAAAUCAAAAUUAUCCAAAAAAAAUCACUAAACAUAAAUAGUAAUAAUUUUAUUUAUAUAUACUAUUUAUAUUAUUAAAUUAAAUUUCACAUUUUAUAUUAUUUAUAUUAUUGAAUUGUUUAGUCAUAUUGAAUAUUUAUAUUAAAAUUGAAUUCUUAAUUAUGCCAUAAAAUCUUCGUGUUAAAAUUUUAUAUUGGUAUCAAUUUUAAAUUUUAUUUUUAAAAUAAAUUUUAUUAAAAAAUCAUAUUUUUAUAUUUAAUAUAUUUUUAAUUCCAAAAUACAUAGUGACAAGAAUCCGAAGAUAAUUGAAACAACUAAACAAACAAAUAAGCUAACCAGUAUAUAAAAAAUUAAUAAAUAAAUUAUGAGGUGAUGAAAGUUAAUAAAAAUUUGAUUAAGGUGGACAAAUUUUAUUACGAUGGGUGACAAUGGUUACAAUGACCCAAAAUUAUUUUUUAAAAUUUAACUCGAACAAAUAUAUUCGAUUCGAUUCGAUUCGAGUUCCAUCUCACUCGACUCGAUUCGAGAAAACUUCAAAUAAAGUUAGGAUGAUAAAAUGAGAUUCGAAAACUCGAUUAACUCGAAAAUUUUUGAUUCGAUUCGAUUCGAUUCGAUCGAAUGCUCACCCCUAGGGGUAGCUGAUGGGAAGGAAUUAAUUGGAAACCAAGGCCCAAGUUCUAGCGGUUUGGGCGGCGAAUUCUGGCUCAUGUGAAAUUACCACUUCACUGGGCCAUGCAUCAUCAAUACUUUGGACAAGCUCGAUGGAGCUGGGUUACUUUCGGUACCUAUUAAACAUGCAGCAAUGGAGCCGGGUAUCAUAAUGUUGCCUACAUAAGAGUACGAGGGUCUAGUAAGCAAAGCUAGACACGAAGAGCUUAAAUUAAUGUAGAGUCGCCACUAACCAAUUAGGGCUGGAUUGGUUAGCCACCUAUCGUCUAAAAGUUUAGAAUUAAUACUACGAAAAAUCCUAAGAGUCUAGACUCGAUCUCAUCACCAAAUUUUGGGUUCGGGAGUACGGUUACGUGUGGGGAAGGUUAUAGCACCCCACAAUGCCUAUCUGGGGAUAGUCCUACAGGGUCUUGAGAGCUAGGUUUUUUAUUUAUUUAAGCAUAUUAAUGUCUUAAUCUAGGCUAAAAUCUUAUGUAAAUCUUAAAUAAAAACUCUAAAGAAAAUGUCUACGAUUCAAUUGUAACUCGAUUAAGAUGUGUUCACCAAACUUAUCUAAUUUGAAACUUAAAUUAUAGAUUUUUACUUUUAACGGGAACCCUAAAGGAUACCUAAAUAAUUCUAGUAAAAUACCUUCAAUUCUUAAAAUUAAUUCUAUUUUAGAAUUCUUAAAAAAACGUAGAAAUUACCAAUGAAUUAAGAGAAAUAUUAAAAUACAUCUACAACUUAUUCGAUCUUUUAUUUUUAUUUUUAUUAUUUUUAACAGAUUUAAUUAAUAACAUUAAACCUAUCAAGAUCUUACAAAAGUAUCCUAUGUUGGAUUUAUGAUUUAUCUUACUUUAAAAUUUUUGAUCUAAGGUUUAAAUUCGUCAAAAUCUUAAAAUAAUAUAUCUUAAAUAACAUUUAUUAGCUUUCUUAAAAAGUUCUAAAGUAAAAUACUUAGACAGACCUACUCAUGAUUUACAAUUCACCUACAAAAAUAUUUAGUUUUAAUCUUAAACAAAUUCCUAAAGAAUAUUUACAUAUUAAUUUAAGAUUCUAAAGAGUAAUUCUAUACGAAUUUAAAAUUAGUUUAAAACCCUAAAAAAAUAUCCUACGUACUGUUUAUAAUUUUUCUAGGGUAAAUGGUCGAAAAGAUCUUAAAGACUAACCUAACUUCAAAUGUAAAAACCUUAUGGUUUCAUUAAAAUGUAAAAACUUCAAUGAUUUCAUUAAAACAUAGCAACUACUUAAUUAACUUCAUGUCAACAAUCAUAGGAUGGAAAAAUGACCUAAAGUUCCCUCUUUUAAAACGAAUAGUAAUAAAAUAGGAAAAUUAAUUUAAUUGCCUAAAGUUAAUAAAAAGUUAAAACUCUUUCAAAAAUGACAAUAAUAAAAAGAAAACUUAAAUAAAUGAAAUAAAUAAGACCUUGACAUAAUGAUGACAAUAAUAACAAUAAUACACCUUAUUCAUAAUACAAUAAAAGAAUCAAAGUAACAAAAAUAAAUAAUAUUAAAAUGUAUAUGUAAGGGAAAUGUGUAAAAAAAACAUAAAUAUAAAUAAACAUGAAAAUAAUUAAAGAUGAAAUAAGAAUAAAUAAAAACUAUACAAGUGUGAAUAAAUAUAAAACAUUAAAAUAAAGUGCAUAAUUGACAUUAAAUAUAUAAGGUAUAAAUGCAAAUGAAAAGGAAGAUAGAAGUGUAAAUAAUUUAUUAAAGAUGGAAACAAAAUGACAUAGCUUAAUUUUAGGACUAAAAGAUAAAAAAUGUGGAAGACGACUGGUGUAGCAAUUAAUUUGCUUUUAAUUUUUAAAUUUUGGAUUAAAUUGAAAGUUUGAAUAAACAAAAGGAUUACGAGUGUAAAUAGGCCAGAGAGUGAGGGCGGUGCUGCAAAAAAGGGAUAUUUUUUGUAAAUUUAAAAAGUAAGGGGGUGAGAAUAAAUUACCCAUUUUUGGCACCUACAAAUGAAAAUAAAUUAUUCAUUCUUUCAUUUUAACCUCAUUUUAACCUCAUUUUUUUCAAAAAAAAAACAUCUUCCUCCUUCUAUGUUGGCCAUGGCUCCACCAUCAGAAAGCCCAACGACUCUCUGGCUUCCGAUGGUGGAGUUGCUGCAUACGAUGACCGAAUUUUUUUUUUUUUGCAAAAUCAAAGAUUUCUUUAAAAAAAUCACUACUUUUCUUAAAAAUCAAAACUUUAUUUCGAAAUAGUUGAAAAAGAUCAAAAAGUUGUUUUAAAAAAAUUAAACUUUUCCUUAAAAAUGACUAAAAAAACAUAUUUUUAUUUUAAAAAUCUAAACUUUAUCUUUUUUUAAAAAAAAGCAAAACUUUAUUUUAAAAUUUUAAACUUUCCUUUGAAAUGACUAAAAAAACAUAUUUUUAUUUUUAAAAUCUAAACUUUCUCUUUUAAAAAAAAUCAAAAUUUUUCUUAAGAUCAAGCCUUUAAAAAAAAACCUUUAUUUAAGAAAGGGGAAGGGAAAAAUGGAAUUUUUGGGGCUCUUAGGGGCGAAGGACCGACGAUCCAGUGACGUCUCCUUCAUCAGAGCCCAAAACCCGAUCUCUCAUGACAUGUCUACGGCCAAAAAAAAAAGAUAGAAGAAAAGAAAAGAAACUAGAAUGCUUGUUGUUGUUUUUACCUUUUUUUUUUAAGAACAAAAUAUGAAAAGCCUUCUUUUUUUUUUCUUUCAUUUUAUUUCAUGUAUAUAUAUUGUUUUUUAAUCUUGUUUAUUUAUAAAAAAGAUAAUAAUAAUAUUUAAUAAUAAUAGUAGUAAUGAUAAUAAUAAUUUGGGCCCUUGAUAGGCCCAAAAAGGAAAGAAAAAUAAAAUAAAAACAAAGGCCUCCAUUUGACCAAAACUGGGUGGGCUUCGAACGGGCCCAAUAGAGAAUAAAUAUACAAAUGGGCCUCGAAUUGGGCUCGGACAAAAAUGGGUGUCUACACCGGGUAUUGAGAAUAAUUUUAAUAAUUACAGUAAAUGACCUAUUAAUUCAAGAGAUUUUCAUCUUAAUGCUACUUCACAAUUUAACCCCACCUUUAAAGGUUUAGUCAAAUUGGGGAUUUCUUUAAACCCUAACUUACUUGAUCCUUCAAAGCAUACAAUAGUGGUUUUUAAGGAUAAUAAUGAAGAAAAUACUACUAUCUCACUAGAGAGUGGUGAACCGAAAAUUUCUGUUAUCGGAAGUUCAAACAUCAAAAUAUGUGUAUCACUUGGGAAAGAGACUGCUAUUAGAAAAGGAAGGGUUCUUAAUAAAAUUAUUAAGGAUUGUGGAGAGCAUUUUAAGGUAGUCAAAAAUUCAAAAGUUUCACUUUCAGACUCGAUGAACUCUAUGGUAGAAUUUAUAAACUCUCAAAUUAAUACGGGGAUUAAUAAGGCUUCUGCGACUUUAGAGAACAUGCAAUAGGGUGAUGGGACUGAUUCUAAUCAGUAGAGGUGUAAUACCCCAAAAAUUUUUACAGUAAGGAAAGUAAGAUAAUAUCUCUGAUAUAGUAAAAUAAGGAAAUAAAGUGCUAAAAAGGGGUAAUUUUGAGUUAUGGCAAUAUUGGGAAGUAAAUUAUAACAUAUUAAUUCAAGAAAUGAUUAAAUCGCAAAACUGAGAAAAGUUUUGUUACCCAAGAGUAAAUACUUAAAAGUUGAGGGGUUAAAGUGUAAUUAUGAAAAAGUUGAAGGACCAAUGGUGUAAAUAUUUUAAGGGUGGAAUAAUCUAGAAAUUAAGAAAAAUGGAUGGAUUAGGACCAAAUUGAAAAAGGUGAAGAAGUUUGAGGGACUAAAUCACAAUUUUACCAAAUUAAGUGAUGACUCAAGGAUGGAAUUUUAAAAGAUCAUAAAGGGCAAAAUGGUCAAUUAGAAGAGAGAGAAAUCUAGAAGAUAAUGAUGAUGUUGGAGAUAUUUUAGAUUAAUAAAUAAAUAAAUAUUAGUUUAUUAAUAUUUUAAUUUGAUUUUUUUAAAUGAUAUUAUUUUAUUAUUAAUUUAUUUAGUAUAUAUAUAUGUGUGUGUGUGGAAAGAAGGAUGAAAAGUAGCCAUCCCCACCAUUUUUGCAUGCAUUAACGUGAGAAGAAGAGGGGAAGAAAGAAAGCUUUGCUUUCUCUACAAUUUGGUCCUUUCACCAAAAAUCCACCAUUUUUACGUAGAAAUCAAAGAAAUUUCCAUUGCCACCAAGAGAGAAAAUUGACAAAGAGACUAUGGGGAGCUAGAAUAUCAAGUUAGAUUCAAGGAAUAGAGGCUGGAGGAGAGAGAAAAUCAAGUUAAAGAUUGAAGUCAAUUGAGCAAGGUAAGAACAUCAUGAUUUCAAUAUAUUUUUGAGUUUGAUAUUAUUGAAAAAGUGUGAGAUUGAUGUUAAUGUAAGGUUUUAUUAUAUAAAGUUAUAUGUUCUUGAUAUGUUAGUGAAGAGAAAAUAAGAGAAAGUGUUGAGAAAUAGUGUAAAAAAAGAAAAUAAGAGUGUUAUAGACUUAGUAAUCAAUAUUCUGCACUAAAGCAGAUUUGGACAGCAGCAGUAGGUUAAAUUUUAAAAAUCACCAUAAAUUGUGGAAAUCGAAUUAUAGGAUGAAUAAAAUAUGAAAUUAAAGCUUAUUGAGUCUAGUUUCACAUAGAAGAAACAAUGUAAGCAAUGAAAUUAUAAAUUAUGAGAUAUAAUAGGUUAUGUGAGAUAAUGUCAGAAUGAUUUCGAGUUCCUCUGUUCUGACUUUGGAAAAUCAUUAAAAAUUGUAAAAAAUAAUUAUGGGAUAAAAUUUAUAUUAUUAGAAUAUUUUAUGAGUCUAUUUUCAAAUAAAACAAACAGAAACAUAAUCCUAAUUCUGUACAAUUAGAUAAUUCAUUUUUAGUGAAGAGUGGUCGGAACUGUCAGACAGUGAAACAGGGGAAACUUUAAAGAAUAAACUGUACUAUUUGGCUAAACCAAAAAUUCUAAAAAUUUUAUGGCAAGAAUAUAUAUGAGUCUAGUUUUAGGGAAAAUUAACGGAUCUUAAUUUGGAUUUCUGUAGCUCAAGAUACAAAUAAUUUAGUGACUAUGACUCAAAUAGACAACUUUGAUUAAAUUUACAAGAAAAUAGUGAAAAUUAUAGACAAUAUUACUUAUAAGCAUGUUAUAUAAAUUAAGGAUGUGGAAUGGAGAGGAGGAGGAGGAAAAUAAAUGUAUGAAUAUUAUGGAUUUGCAUUACAAAUGGUUAAUUUACAUGAUUUGGGUUCGAGGACUAAAUUGAAUAAAAGUAAAACUUUACGCAAUUUUGGAAAAAUGUCAAAAAUGACCAAAUUGCAUGAAAUGAGUUGUUUUAUUAAAAUGAAAAAUUAAUUUAGAUCAAGAUCAGGUAGAAAAUCGAGAAAAUGGAAAAUUACCAAAAUGCUCUUGUAUUUUAGUAUUUUUACAAUUUAGCCCGGUAAGUUCGUGUAAUUUGAAUUAUAUGCUUAAAUGCUUGNNNNNNNNNNNNNNNNNNNNNNNNNNNNNNNNNNNNNNNNNNNNNNNNNNNNNNNNNNNNNNNNNNNNNNNNNNNNNNNNNNNNNNNNNNNNNNNNNNNNGAAUAUGAUUUGGAUGUUUAUUGUAUGAUAAUUGAUGAAGUAUUGAUAUUCUUAAUGAAAAGAGAAAAUAAAUCCCGGUUGAAUGAAAGGAAAAUUCGAUGGAUCUCUGAAAAGGAAUUGACGGUAAAAAGGAUCUAGCCCAGACGGGUGAUCCUAUCCUGAUAUAGCCCUCCCAAAGAAUAUUUGCGAAAAAGAUCUAGCCCGGACGGGUGAUCUUGAUAUAGCCCUCCCGAAGAAUAUGUGGAAAAUGGAUUUAGCUCGGACGGGUAAUCCGAAUUAGGGUCUGAAUUUAGCCUGGACUGGUAAUUCAGAUCCAAGCUCAUUAGAGUAAUUGUCCUUGCAGGGGAUUUAGCCUGGACUAGUAAUCCCGACAAUACUCUAUGNNNNNNNNNNNNNNNNNNNNNNNNNNNNNNNNNNNNNNNNNNNNNNNNNNNNNNNNNNNNNNNNNNNNNNNNNNNNNNNNNNNNNNNNNNNNNNNNNNNNGUGCUAUCUUGCAGGGGAUUUAGCCUGGACUGGUAAUCCCGCUGUAAAGAUGAGGUUCGCGGGAGUGUGCUCUCUGAAGUGGAAAUGUGCGCACAUGAAUAUGAAUUGACGGACCCGGAAUUGUACACUAAAAGUGUACCUCUGAAAAUCCAUCGAAUUUCUGAGAAAUUCAACGGGAUAAAUAUGGAAAAUAAUAAGGGUAGUAGAAAAUAUGGAUUUGAAUUAUUAUUGGUAUUGAUCUGAAAUAAAUGUAACCAUUGUUAUUUAAAUGAUAUAACGGGUAAAGUUUUGAAGUGAGAUAACAUGAAUUUGAAAUGAACUAUUACUGGUAUGUACAAAAUUCAUGAAAAUGAUGGUACAUGAAAUAUCGAAAUAAUGAAAUGGAAAUGAAGCAUUAAAUUGCAUGAGUAUGUAUCGGGUUUCGUAGGCCCUAAUUAUUAUGAUCAUAAUAUUUUGAAGAUAUAUUAUGAAAAAUUAUAAAAGCAUGUUAAUAAAUUUGAAAAUUUUAAUUUAGAUGAAAUUUAUAACUCGGUUAAAUACGUUUACAAGCGUAUGGGUUCUGGUAAUGUCUCGUACCCUAUUUCGGUGUUGACUACGGGUGAGGGGUGUUACAAGAGGUUGGUUGUCUAUCUUUCUUUUUUGAAUUUAUGAAUUUAAAUAUUUUUUUCUUGGAAUUUUCAUGAAUGUGCUAAUAGUAAAUUCCCUCGAGUUUUUCGGGAAUAUAAUCAGGAAUUUAAACCAAAUAUUGUGGGAUUGCUCGAGACAAAAGUUAGUGGUGGAAAAGUUUAUUUGAUUAUCGCUAAUUUGGGUUUCCAGUACUUUCAUAAAGUUGAGGCCGUAGGUUUUUCUAAUGGUAUUUGGAUUGGGUGGAAAGAUUUGGUUAGAGUUGAAAUGAUCUACAAUCAUCCUCAAUUUGUCCUAAUUUGGAUCAUCGAUAAUUCAUUUCGAAGGUCUAUUCUAGUUUCCUUUGUGUAUGGUAGCCUGAAUAAGCAAAAGAGGAAGUUCUUGUAGGAAUGUCUAAAUUCGAUGUUACCAAAUGAUAAUGUUCCAUGGAUGACGAUUGGAGAUUUUAAUGCCAUUUUCUCUCUCAGUGAGAAGAGAGGAGGACGAAGAGAAGGAAAAAGGUGUUCAACUUUCGAUAAUUUUGUUGACUCUGAUAGUCUUCAUGAUUUCAGGUUUAAAGAUUCAGCGUUUACUUGGCAGAGAGGUGAGGGCUUUGAAAGGCUUGAUAGAGCUAUCUGUAAUGAUGUGUGGAUUUUAGAAUUCCUGAGUUGUUUAAUGUCUCAUCUCCUUACGCUCAAAUCGGACUAUCGGCCUCUGUUUCUAUCCUUAAGGCAGGAUUCAACUUUUUUCAAAGAUGGACCCUUCAGAGUCCUUACCGGUUGGGUUGAACAUCCAGAUUUCUCUCAAUUUUUUAAGAAUGCUUGGACUUUUAAUGGUAACAUGGGGUCUUCUAUUAAGCUGCUUUCAAAUAACCUGAAGCAUUGGAAUAAGAAUAUAUAUGGGCAUAUCAGCAACCGUAAAAAAAAUCUUCUACAGAAAUUAGCUAGUAUUCAAAAAGCGAUGGAUAAAAUGGACUUCGAAGAAUUGACCAUUGCUGAAAUGAAGGUUAGAGAGGAUUUAUAAAGCAUGCUCCACCAUGAGGAGCUGCUUUGGAAACAGAAGGCUAGGUGCGUUUAGUUUAUCAUCGGAGAUCGAAACACAAAGUUCUUCCAUAGGCGCACUCUUCAGAGAAGAAAGCAUAAUAAGAUAUCAACCCUGAAGAAUGAUCUAGGGGAUUAGGUUUAUGAUGAUGAGGCCCUACAGAUGGAAGCUAUUAACUUUUUCUAGUGACUUUAUGGGGAGCAUUCGGAACCCAUGGUAGGGCUGCCCCCAGCUCUUUUCCUAAAUUAUCUCAAUAAGAUGUUCAGUCUUUGGGUAUGACAACCACUGAUGAGGAAAUUAAGGUUGCUCUAUUUGACAUGGCACCCUUAAAAUGUUAGGAAAUGUACUCAUACUAUAGUAAACAUGUAACUGUUUUAUAUUUAUUUGAACGAUGAAUAAAUAAAUAAAGUUAAUUUCACAUUUCACUAUUAUAUCUUUUGUAUUUCUGUCUUUUAUAUUUUACAUGCAUAGAGAAAUUAUGACAAACAAAUAUUAGCUCAUUGAUUGUCUAAAGUUCAACUUGAAGAUAAAUGGCACUGUAAAGAACGUUUACAUUGCGAGAAAGAUAACUUACUUCAGUAGAUAAUUUAAAUGAAUUUGUAAUCUCGUAAAAGAAUAAAAGCGAUCAUUUGAUUCAAAUACUAUGAAGGAUUAUUAUAUUGUCUGCAAUUCCAAUUGGGGAGAAGACUAGUCUUGGCUAUCAGAGCAGUUGACUCCACGAGUAGAGAUAUAGAUGUAUUCAUUGGUAGAAUAAUACAUCAGACUGGACCCAAGAUGAAUUAAUUCUGAAUCCACUUGUGAAUUAAUUCACUUGUGACGUUCAUGAUGUGAUUUACCUAAAUCUUGAGUUAGUCACUGACCAUGCAUAUGCAAUUCAUGUGCUUUGAUAUAAGUGGAUGCUUAUGCUCUAAAGAUGAUCGAACCCAUAGCCGGUAUGUUGGGUAUAUGACUUAUGUAUGGCAUGUCUUUACUAGCAACAGUGGAAUUCAUAGCUCAACUAAAGAGUUAAUAAUAUCCUUUCAUUGGCAUUGUGUGGAUUGAUAAAUAUGGAACGUGGUCAAGGGUUGCUUGUUCUCAAACGAGCAAUUUAUCAAGUCAUUUGUUGACAGUGGUCAUAUUAAUCAUUAAGAAGACACAGUGGUGACAAUAAGAUAAAAUAGGAUUGUAUUGAGUGAACGGAUUGAACUCAAAGAAAUCAAUGAUAUCAUAUGAGGGUAACACACCAUGACAAGGUCAUUGGACAAAUCAGUUGGAUGAAUUGCUUUCGCAAAGAGUAUACAAUAAGAAGUUUUCAAUCAUGGUACUUCUUGUGGACUAACUCAAUGAUUAAGUAAUUGUGAAUUAUCGGAAUGAUGCUUCUAGACAUAACUGCAAUCAUUAGAGCCUAAUUGUAUAUGUCCGAUUGGUUCCUCCGCUAGCUCAAUAAAAGCUUGAUCGGACAACAUUUGAAUCAGAAGAAAAUUCUAUGACUUUGGGAAUAAUAUAAUUGAGUUAAUUUAUUCGAUUUAGAAUUAAAUUAGGUGGUCGUAAGAAUUGUUCAACUAGAGAAUUUGAUUAAAAAAUUUUCUUGAAAAAUUAAUUUGGAAAAUCUAAGUGAAUUUUGGAAAAAUUAAUUUCGAUCAAGUAAAAUUAAAUUAAUCUAAUUAAUUAAAAUUAAUAUGAUAUUUUUAGAAAUUAAUUUUCAAGUCAGACAAUUGGCCCAAUGGGUAAUUAAACUUGGAAAUUGGACCUGAGAUCGUAAAUUGAGCCUGGGAGCCCAAAACCAAGACCAAAACCUAAAAACUUGUUGAACCAGGCCCAGUAUGUGAAACCGAGCCGACCGGUCGGGACCGGACAGCAACUGAACUGGCUCAGGGUAUCGUAUGGGUGUCGCACUUGCAUCACCAUACACAGUGGUGCCAGUGGCUACGACAGCAGUUGAUCGUUGAUGGUUGAGUAGUGGAAGAGUUACAUUCCUAUUGGAAUUCUACUAGAGAAUUUGAUUUCAAAUUAAUUAUUCCAAAAAUAAUAUUAUUUUAAUAUUUUAAUAUUAAAUUUAAUUUAAUAUUUAUCUUAAUAGUAUUUUAUUAAUUUAAUAUUAAAGUGAUUAUCUUAAUAUUAAAUUUAAUUUAAUGUUUAUCUUCUAGAUAAACAUUCUAUUAAUUUAAUUUUAAAGUGAUUAAGUUUAAUUAUAGUUGAACUCUCUAAACUCUCCCUAUAUAAAGAGAGUUUUAGGUCAUUCUUUACACACACUUGAAUUCAAGAUAAAGUUGUAGAGAGAAAAUUCUAUAAACAGAUUAUUCUAGAAAAUUUCUAGAGAUAUUUUUCUAAUUUAUAAUUUGAUCCAAAAGUUUAGAGAAAUUGCAAUAUCACCCCACUGGUAAUUUUUGUGAAAAUUUUUUUGAUUCGAAGCAAGCCUACACUUGACAGACGUGAGCUUGAGGAUAGCAGAGAAGAUUACUCGGUCGAAGCGCUCAUCCUAGACGAAUUGAAAAGGUACAAUUUUGAUUAAGUGUUUAUUACUUUAGAUAUCACAACCAAGAUCUUGUUUUGGAAAAAAAUUUAAAACUCUGGUCUUUUCCUAAAUUAUUUUUCGUUGCAUUUUCCAAACUUGUUUCUUCCAACAUAAAAGCUCAAGGGAGUGAUGGUCUUCAUGCCUUGUUUUUCCAAAGCCGAUGAGAGCACAUUGGUAGUUCCGUUUGUGGGUGGGUUAAACGGAUAUUCGAUGGGAAAUCAUUGAUUCAGAUCUUAACAACACUUUAGUUGUUCUAUUACCUAAUGUUCAUGCCCUUGAAAUUUUUUCCCAAUUUAGGCCCAUCAUCUUAUGCUUGGUCUUGUAUAAAUUGGUUAUGAAGGUUAUUUCUAUCGCUUUAAGACGGUUUUUCCAAGUAUUAUUACGUAGGAACAAGCGGGAUUCAUAACAGGGCGUAAUAUAAUAGAUAAUGUCAUUGUUCCACAAGAAGACAUCUAUUCUAUGGGGAGCAAACAAAAGAAUAGAAAAUGGAUGGUUGUGAAGAUCGAUUUGGAGAAGGCAUAUGAUCGAGUUCGCUAGGAAUUUAUUAAGGUUUCUCUUAAAGCCGCAAGUAUUCCUGAGCUCCUAAAUAAUGUUAUCAUGUUUACUAUCUCUAACUCUACUAUGCAGAUUCUCUGGAAUGGUGUUCUGUCCCCAAAAUUUAAACAGGCCAGAGGCAUCUGUCAGGGGUGCCCCUUAUCCCCGUAUUUAUUUGUCUUGUGUACAGAGUGGCUUGGACACAACCUACAUUCAACAAUUCAAAGGGGUUAGUGGCAACCUAUUCGCAUUAGUCAUUCAGGUCCAGCAAUCUCUCAUUUAUCUUUUGCAGAUAACCUUAUCAUAUUUGAGAAAGCUGAUAAAAAUCAAGCUAGAUUGUUGGGGGGAUUCUAAAAGAGUUCUGUAAUUUCUCUGGACAUCGGGUAAAUGCAAGGAAAUCUUACAUCUUUUUCUCUAAAGGUGUAAGUGAAGAGACGAGAAAGAUCCUUAUUGACAUUCUGGGUUUCAAUAAGGUGCAAAAUCUCAUAUCUUAUCUAGGGAUUCCACUUCUUUAUGAGAGAGUGACUAAUAGUACUUUGAGAUUUGUUGUCGAUCAAGUUCACAUUAGACUACAGAGCUGGGAGGCUAGGAAACUAUCCUUAGCAGGCGAGGCCACUAUUGCUCAGUCUAUUUUAUUAAAGAUACCAAGCUAUUUCAUGCAAUCAAUAAGGAUCCCUAAAGGCUUAUGUGACGAGAUUGAACAAUUAGUUAGACAAUUCAUUUGAGGAGUAUCUAAAAGGGAAAUGAAGAUGACGCUUUUCAUUUGGGAGUCUAUUUGUCAACCAAGAUCCCAUGGGGGCCUUGUUUUAGGCGAUUGGAAGACCAGAAUACAUCUUUCCUAAUGAAACUUGGCUUCAAUCUUGUUUCCAACAUGAAUGCUCUAUGGGUUCGGGUGUUUAAAGCCAAGUAUAGAGUACAUACUGGUCUACCUAAUCCUUAACUCAGGGAUGUUGUUCUUUUCUUUGGAAAAGUCUUUCUAAAGUAUGGCCUCUGGUUAAAGAAAAUCUUUUAUGGUCAGUUGGGGAUGGUAACUCGAUCAAAUGUUGGAGUGACCUUUGGAUUCCAAAUUUUGGCCCUUUGUCAAAUCAUAUUCCAUUUCAUUCGAAUAUGGAAAGGGAGAACGUGUUGAACAGUGUGGUUUCGGAGGAUGGGCAUUGGAACUUUGAUUUAUUUUGCCCAUAGGUGUCGGAGGAUAUAAUUAGGCGCAUUAUAGGUAUUCCUCCACCACAUUCGGAAGUUGGUUCGGAUAUAAUCACUUGGGCAGGAUCUUCUAAUAGUUCCUUUUAAAUCAAGAGCACAUUCUGGAAAAUUCAGCAAGAGACUUGGAAUCCCAAGAAUGGCAUAUGGAAAAUACCUUGGAAGUUUCAGGGCCCUCAACAAGCUAGAUAUUUUAUUUGGCUCGUUCUUAAAAAACAUCUUCUUACUAAUUCCGAGUGUGCAAAAAGAGGAAUCGGGCCAGAUGGUUCUUGUGGCAUAUGCAACAAUGAGUAUAAAGACAUUUUACAUGCCAUUUGUGAUUGUCCUUCUACUAAGGAGACUUGGAAACGUAUUAUUCCAUAGAUCAAAUAUAAUUCUUUUUUUUCAAGUAAUUUGUAGGAUUGGAUUUCAAGUAAUCUUCAAAAUUGUCUCAAUUUACAACUGGAUGGGAUAGAUUGGCGAUACUUCUUUAGUAUGGUAGCUUGGCGUAUUUUGAAAAAUCGGAACCUUUUUAUCUUCCAAGGCAUAACAUGGAGUACUAAGGAAUUUAUUAAAAUCUCAUUCAGCUGGGCUAAACAUUACAAAUAAGCUUUUAAGGUAAAUAUCUCUGACCGAAAAGUUCCAAUAGUUGUUGUGCCAAAUAUUGGGAAUUGGACCCAAUUAAAUUCUGACAGAGCAGUAAAAGAGGAAUUCGGGUUUGCUACGACCGGGGGAGUUCUUUGUGAUAGAUACGGCGAAUGGAUUAUUGGGUAUACAGCUUAAAUUAUUAAUUUUUGUAAAGGAACUAGAAUUAAUUUAUUGAUUUUUUUUAAAAUUAGAACUAAAUUGAAUUUUUUUUAAAAAUUUUGAGGGCUAAAUUUAUUGAAUUUUUUAGAAUUCUAACUAAAAUGACAAAUUUUGUAGAAAAAUUUAUAUUUACGAUCAAAUUGAUAUAAUGUGUAAAUAUUGAAGGGCUAAAUUUGUUAUUAGACUAAUAAAAAAGUCAUUUUAAUUGACCAAAAUAUUUAAUUUCGAAAGAUUUAGUGACUAAAUUAAAAAAAAUUCAAUAAUUAAAAUAGAAAAAAAAAACAGUUUAGUGACAUUUUUUAGUUUAACCAAAUAAAAAACAUUAAAUAGAAUUUAAAAAUAAAAGACAAAUUUAACUAAAAAUAAAUUCGGUGGGAACAACCCUAAUACCAAAGUCAAAAGAGAUGUGUGAAGAGUUAAGGUGGGUUUGGAUGGGCGAUUGGGUGCGGUGCGGUGCGUUUAACUUACUUUUUGUCACACGCUACAAUAUCGUUACAAUAUCUAAUCUCACCGCCACCGUUGUUUUUACACUAACCGCAGGUAAACGCACCGCCCAGCCAAACUCACCCUUAGUCUUUCCAUCACGAUCACGUUCGACUUUAAACAUUUUCAUUUUUCAACAAAGAAAAUAAAUAAAAAUUGAAAAAAAUAAAAUAUGAAGUCUGUUUAUAAAAGUCAAGAUCACCGACCUGUCGUUUUUGGUUUUUUACCAUUUUUUUUAUCAUUUAUCUAUAUUAUUAUUUAAGCUCUUGACUGACUUGAUGCCACUUUCAAUUAGGUCAUUAAUUCAGUUAAGAAAUUACGAGAAUGUCUUUCCUAAUAUUAUUCGAGGAUAUUUUAAUCAUUUUAUUUAAAAUAAAUUAAUAAAAAUAUAGAUAUGGUGGGUUUUAAAGCCACGCCAAUUACAUUAAUAAAACUUUUAAUUUACCAUUCAACUAAAUUUUUUUUAUAUUUUUAUACAUUUUAUUUUUAUUAUGCACAUUUUAUUACUUUCAUUAGUUGUAUUUAUUAAUAAUGUAUUUGAUUGAGUUGGUGUCACAAGUUAACUCAAUACCGACUUAAGAUUGAUGAUAACAUCAUGAUAAAUAAUUUAACCUAAUUUUUUUAUUUUAAUAACGUACAUAUUUCAUGUGUUUCCAUUGAGUACAUAAAGCCAAAAAAAAAUAUGGGAUGCAUGCUUUUUAUCGUUGCAUGGUAUGUUGAACUGAAGUAUAUGUCUACCAUGUUAAAUUCAAUAAUUUUGAAGCUAAUGAAGGCUUCACUUACCUCUUAAACAUCUUGUUGAAGUGAAAGUGAAUGCAGCAGUAAAUAGUGGGGGUUUUCGGAUUUAUUUCAUACUAAAUUUCGGUGUAUAUUUUUCUAAGAAAAAUAAACAAUCCAACUAAAUAUUAUAUAUUGUUUACAAAUAAUCUUAUACAACUUGUUGAUAAAUAACUAUUUUAUUAAGAGAUGUUUGACUUUACUUCAACAAUUUUUACUUUUCUCUCUUAUAAUAUGUUUUAGUUCUAUGUAUUAGAGGUGUUUAUGAUUCGGGUCUGGCCCAACUAAAAUUUUAAGCCGAGAAAUAGGUCUAAAAUUUUACCCAGGUCUAGCCUGGAUAAAAAUGCUAAAACCUGGUCUGACCCAGCUCGCCCAUAUUAAUUUAUAUAUAUAUAUAUAUAUUAAUAUAUAUAGAACACAUCAAACUUACUAAAAAUAUUAAAAUAAAUAUUUCCCAACAAAUUGAAAAUAAAUCUUUAAAAAUAUGUAUACUUAAAUAACAGUAAGAUAGAUACAAUUAAACAAGCAAAUGUCUCUAAAAUAGUAACAAAAUUAACAAUAAAAUCAAAGUUAUACAAUAUCCAAACAAUAGCAACAUAAUAGUGAAAUUGUAGCAAAAUAAGGAGAAAAUAAUAAAAAAAUAGCAUUGAAAAAUACUAUUGUUGGUUCCAUCACUAUUUAUAUAAACCCAACUGCAUAACUAAAAAGGUAAUCCAAAAAGGUAAUCUAAUUUUUUUUUCUAAAUGUUACAAUAACAAAUUUAACUGAGAAAAAUAGUUAAAAUUAAUAAUUGGACUUAAUUUUUUAAAAUUAAAAUAUAAAAAAUAAAUUUCUAAAAAAAAAGUAAAAGAAAAAACUAAAUUCCAAAUAUAAUAAAAGAUGAAUAUAAAACAUAUAUAUAUAUAUAUUCAAUAUUUCUUAUUUAUUCAAGAAACAAUCAAUCAUUCAACAUCAAAGUAAGCCGACCACUCAAAAUAUUAAAACAACCAGAUUCUUAUUGGACUGCCCAACUGGUUUGUUUGUUAAUAAUACUAUUGGUUCUGGGCUUUUAUAACACCUAAAACAUGGGAUAAAACUUGGUUCCACUGCUUUGUUCAAUCAAAAUCACUGCAGGAAACAUAAGUCAACCACAAGUCCUCAUCUUCUCUUGCAACACCCCACUUUUAUUUGACUUUUUUUUCUCUUGUUCAUGUCUCAAGGAGGAUCCAAUCCAGAUGGUAACACUCAGGCCAACAGGGUAACUGAUCACUGCUUCUUUUUCUUUUUUUCAUGUAAGCUUUGCAAGUUUGAAUAUAAUUUUCAAUCUCAUUACAUGAUGUUUUAUCCUUUUUUUUUAUUUUUUUUAUUUUGCAGUUUAUCAAUGAAUUCCCAGUGUUCACGAAUCAGAUCGACUUAUUAAUAGCAAAAUACGAGAAGCUGGUUGACACUGAAGCAACUCAGCUAGAUGAGAUCAAUAGUUUGAAAGUCAUGGUUGCAGACAAAGAUGAAAAAAUUCGCAUACACGAACAACUGUGCCGUGAGCUUCAGAAAGAGGCGAACGAAUUGAGGGCGAAUCUGGAGAAAACCAAUAAGGAACAUGAUGUGAAGGUAUCUGAGCUCGAGAAAAAGCUCAAGGCCAAAGAAAAGGA